rnacentral:lncRNA from 1 species
UUUUUUAUAGAAUAUGAUGUUUUUUUCAUAGAUGAUCACAUAUAUGAUGUAUGCAUGGAUGUGGAGGAAAUAUGAUGUUUUUUUGUUCAUAGAACAUGAUGAAAUAUGAACAAUGCAUUAGGCAAAACCUUUACUUUUUUCGAAAUAUGAACAUGAUGAAAUAUGAACAAUGAUGAAAUAGGAAGAGAGGAGAAGAAGAGAGAGGAAGAAGAGGAGAAAUAAAUAAGAAGAGGAAAAAAGAAGAAAAAGAACAGGAGAAGAAGAAAGGAAUAGAAGAGAAGAAGAAAAAAUAGAAAAAAAAUCUAUUUUUUUCUUCUUCUCUCCUCUAUUCCUUUCUUCUUCUCCUCUUUUUUUUCUUCUUUUUUUUCUUCGAUCUUCUCCUCUAUUCCUUUUCUUCUUCUCCUCUUUUUAUUUCUUCUUUGUUUUCUUAUGUUUUAUCGGGUCUGUCAUCGUCUAUAUACCCCUCUCCCGAUAACAACAACACGAGGGGGGUCGAUAUACCCCCUCCCUGAUAAUAUUAUUUUCCCAUGUACGUAUGUCGUCGUUGUCGAUAUAACCCCCUCCCGAUAACUUCAACACGUGGGGGGGUCGAUAUACCCCCUCCCCGAUAGCAUUAUUUUCCCAUGUAUGUAUUUCGUCGUUGUCGAUAUAUAUAACUCCCUCCCAGAUAACUUCGACAUGAUGGAUGGUCGAUAUUUAUACCCCCUCUCGACCGUGAUAACCUAUACCACGGGAGCACCCCCGGGCCCUCUCGCUCGGCCAAAACUCUCGAGGACACCCAAACCCUAGAAAAAAACGAUGUCCUUCUCCUACCCCCUCCCGCCGUGCCCCUACCCUUGAAGCGUUGCCGAGGCCACCCCAAACCCAGAAUAAGCUAGGUCUACGUUUGCACUAACCACCUGCUGUCAUGUUUGUGUAAUAAUUGCCAUGUUGUAAUAUUUGCAGCAACAAUGCAGCACGGAAGAGACGAGCAAGCAGAAGAGGUGUUGGGGGACAUAAUGUUAGCCGGAGGUGAUAUCUUGUCGUAUCUUAAUGACAAUGAUGGUCUGGAAGAACAGGGUGAAGAAGCAGGCUACGGUGAUCGAAUAGUGGAGGAGGAAAGACAUGAUUAUGAUGGCUCCGGUUACCCAAUGCUGGUGCAAGAAGGAGCCCGUGGUGACGGCUCCGGUAACCGAACAGAGUCCGGCCAGGUAAAUAUAUUAGUUAAGCAUGUGCUGACUAGCUAAUUGAUGCAUUCAUUGUUUUGGUAUGUACGGAUAUUAAUUAACACUCGUCUUUCUUCUUUUUUCUAGCCCUCCGGAUCGAGCACAACUUCGCUAAAGAGACGAGGCCCGACGAGAAAGUUGCGCUCGGAUGAAAGGUUUGAGAUCACAGCAAUCGCGCGUGACGGCCAACCGAUUGAACCCAUCCAGACAAAGGAAGCAUUUGCUGCUCAGUGCGGUCUUCUAGUUAGGGACAAGAUCCCGAUCAGCAUCCACCAAUGGUAUAAGCCUAAGAAGGAAGACCCUGAGGUGUCUUAUGUCAAUGAUAUGCAGAAAGAUGAUCUUUGGACUAAGCUGAAGGCAAAUUUCACCCUACCGCCAGAGGAGGAUCCGGAGAAGCCAGUUAAAGAGCAAUUAAUCAAGUCUCAUGCUCUUAAGAAGAUGGUAGACCUAUUCAGGAGGUGGAAGAAUGAGCUGAAAAUGUUUGUCGACAAAGAAGAGACACCAGAAUUCAUCGGCCGGUAUGAGAAGAUCAGAGAUCACUGGCCCGCAUUUGUGGCCCACAAGACAUCGGAAAAGAGUAAGAAGAUGUCAGCGACAAACAAGAAGAAUGCUGCGAAGAAGAAGCUUCACCAUCGCACGGGGUCAGGUGGCUACCUCAAAGCCCGGCCUAAGUGCGCCAAGGCUGAGAAUGAUCUGCUUGAAAAAGGGACCGAACCACAGACAAUGAACUGGACAGACCGUUGCCGGACUUGGUUCUUCGGGGCUGGCGGAACCUUGGACCCUGUAUCAGGGAGGUGCGUUUGGACGAACGAGCUUUUGAGAAUACCAGUCAAGAAGAUUCAGCAAGAUAUCGAUGCAGCGCAGCAAGGGACGUUCGUUCCAGACAGAGAGAACGACGAGCUCACAAUGGCCCUCGGGAAUCCUGAGCACCCUGGACGGACCAGGAGAGGAGGAAAAAAGUGGAGCAGAUCCAAAAUCAGAAGCUGCACGAAAGGGUUCAAGUGCUAGAGGAACGAGACGGCAAUCGACAUGCCGAAACUACCCCCGAAGCUACACCGCCAUCUCAGCGGAGAAGCAGCGUGGCUUCCACCGAGCUGCUUCAGCUGGAGCAUGUCUUCACGGCUCCUGCUAGCUACCCCGUGGAUGCUAUCACGAAGUCUCAACAUUGCCACCUUAUGGCGCAAUGGCAGAACUUCAAAGUCAAGGCGGCUAUUGGCUCUGUUUUACCUCCUGAACCCGGCGCAACCUACCACUACCGGCCGAUUCCAGAAGGAUAUGCUAGGGUGAUGGUGGAUGAAAUAACGGAGGGAUUUGAGGACCUCCAGCUUGACCACCCUACCGGUGAAGGGGAGACUAUGCCUAUGGCGGAAGGAGCUUAUCAACCUUCCGAACUGGACGGCUCCGGCGAGUAAGGGCACUCCGCCUCCUCCUCCGCCUCCUCCUCCGGCGAGUGAUCAGGGCACUCAGCCUCCUUCUCCGGCGCAUGGCGGCACUCCGCCUCCUCCUCCGCCUCCUCCUCCGGCGAGUGAUCAGGGCACUCAGCCUCCUUCUCCGGCGCGUGGCGGCACUCCGCCUCCAUCUCCGCCUGCGCCGGUGCGCCAGAGCAGCCAGCCUCCUCCUUCUCCGCCUCGUCAGCAAGGGCGGAAGAGACCCGCCGGCGCGUCGUAGUCCUUCUCCUCCGCCUCGUAAGCAAGGAAAGAAGACAGCCGCAGCCACUCCGUCUGCUCUGCCGGCGUCUAGCAGUACAGCUGCCAGAGGCGGGAGGCAAUAAAGAUUCGGUCCUUCUCUGAAGACUCCAGAGAAGUUACCAUACGAGAGGACCGAGGAGGAAACCAGGGAGAUCGUGCGAGCCGAAGUGACAAACUUCUUUGAAGGGGUGAAAGCAAAGAAACAUCCACAUCCGGAGGAGAAGGUAGAUCCGGUGAAAGCAAAGCGCACUCUGGCUUCCCUGACAAAACCACCAAAGUCUCUGCCGAGAGGCAACUAUGAGCGCAUUCUUGCAAAGACAUAUGCCGAAGCGGAGCGGUCGGGAAGUACUGUCAGUGAUAAGAGGUUAAAAGAACGACGAGCUAGGAAAAAAAUUGCCCAGCUCGGCGAACAAGCGAACCAAUCGUGCCCCCCGCUCAAGGUGUCAAAAGACAUCGUUGCUAAUGAUCCGAGGAUGGUGGUGAAGGAAAUAUGCCCUAGAGGCAAUAAUAAAGUUAUUAUUUAUUUCCUUAUAUCAUGAUAAAUGUUUAUUAUUCAUGCUAGAAUUGUAUUAACCGGAAACAUAAUACAUGUGUGAAUACAUAGACAAACAGAGUGUCACUAGUAUGCCUCUACUUGACUAGCUCGUUAAUCAAAGAUGGUUAUGUUUCCUAGCCAUAGACAUAAGUUGUCAUUUGAUUAACGAGAUCACCUCAUUAGGAGAAUGACGUGAUUGACUUGACCCAUUCCGUUAGCUUAGCACCCGAUCGUUUAGUAUGUUGCUAUUGCGUUCUUCAUGACUUAUACAUGUUCCUCUGACUAUGAGAUUAUGCAACUCCCGUUUACCGGAGAAACACUUUGUGUGCUACCAAAUGGCACUACGUAAAUGGGUGAUUAUAAAGGUGCUCUACAGGUGUCUCCAAAGGUACUUGUUGGGUUGGCGUAUUUCGAGAUUAGGAUUUGUCACUCCGAUUGUCGGAGAGGUAUCUCUGGGCCCACUCGGUAAUGCACAUCACUAUAAGCCUUGCAAGCAUUGUGACUAAUAAGUUAGUUGCGGGAUGAUGUGUUACGGAACGAGUAAAGAGACUUGCCGGUAACGAGAUUGAACUAGGUAUCGAGAUACCGACGAUCGAAUCUCGGGCAAGUAACAUACUGAUGACAAAGGGAACAACGUAUGUUGUUAUGCGGUCUGACCGAUAAUGAUCUUCGUAGAAUAUGUGGGAGCCAAUAUGGGCAUCCAGGUCCCGUUAUUGGUUAUUGACCGGAGACGUGUCUCGGUCAUGUCUACAUAGUUCUCGAACCCGUAGGGUCCGCACGCUUAAAGUUACGAUGACAGUUUUAUUAUGAGUGUAUGUAUGUUGAUGUACCGAAGGAGUUCGGAGUCCCGGAUGAGAUCGGGGACAUGACGAGGAGUCUCAAAAUGGUCGAGACGUAAAGAUCGAUAUAUUGGACGACUAUAUUCGGACUUCGGAAAGGUUCCGAAUGAUUCGGGUAUUUUUCGGAGUACCGGAGAGUUACGGGAAUACGUAUUGGGCCUUAUUGGGCCAUACGGGAAAGAAGAAAAAGGGCCUCAAGGGUGGCCGCACCCCUACCCUUGGUCUUGUCCGAAUUGGACUAGGGAAGGGGGGCGCCCCUUCCUUCCUUCUCUUUUUCCCUUCCUCUUUUCCUAUUCCAUAUGGGAGGUGGAAUCCUACUAGGACUAGGGAGUCCUAGUAGGACUCCACACUUGGUGCGCCCCCUCCUAGGGCCGGCCUCCUCCUCCCUUGCUCCUUUAUAUACGGGGGCAGGGGGGCAUCCCAGAGACACAACAAUUGAUCCUUGAGAUCUUUUAGCCGUGUGCGGUGCCCCCCUCCACCAAAUUACACCUCGAUAAUAUCAUUGCGGAGCUUAGGCGAAGCCCUGCGUCGGUAGAACAUCAUCACCGUCACCACGCCGUCGUGCUGACGAAACUCUCCCUCAACACUCGGCUGGAUCAGAGUUCGAGGGACGUCAUCGAGCUGAACGUGUGUAGAACUCGGAGGUGCCGUGCGUUCGGUACUUGAUCGGUCGGAUCGUGAAAACGUACGACUACAUCAACCGCGUUGUGAUAACGCUUCCGCUGUCGGUCUACGAGGGUACGUGGACAACACUCUCCCCUCUCGUUGCUAUGCAUCACCAUGAUCUUGCGUGUGCGUAGGAAAUUUUUUGAAAUUACCACGUUCCCCAAUAGUGGCAUCCGAGCCUGGUUUUAUGCGUUGAUGCUAUGCACGAGUAGAACACAAGUGAGUUGUGGGCGAUAUAAGUCAUACUGCUUACCAGCAUGUCAUACUUUGGUUCAGCGGUAUUGUGAGAUGAAGUGGCCUGGACCAACAUUACCCGUACGCUUACGCGAGACUGAUUUCACCGUUCGGAGCACUCGUUGCUUAAAGGUGACUGGCGGGUGUCUGUCUAUCUCACUUUAGUUGAACCGAGUGUGGCUACGCCCGGUCCUUGCGAAGGUUAAAACGGCACCAACUUGACACUAUCGUUGUGGUUUUGAUGCGUAGGUAAGAACGGUUCUUGCUAAGCCCGUAGCAGCCACGUAAAACUUGCAACAACAAAGUAGAGGACGUCUAACUUGUUUUUGCAGGGCAUGUUGUGAUGUGAUAUGGUCAAGACAUGAUGUGAUAUAAUGUGUUGUAUGAGAUGAUCAUGUUUUGUAACCGAGUUAUCGGCAACUGGCAGGAGCCAUAUGGUUGUCGCUUUAUUGUAUGAGAUGCAAUCGCCAUGUAAUAGUUUUACUUUAUCACUAAGCGGUAGCGAUAGUCGUAAAAGCAAUAAGUUGGCGAGACGACAACGAUGCUACGAUGGAGAUCAAGGUGUCGCGCCGGUGACGAUGGUGAUCAUGACGGUGCUUCGGAGAUGGAGAUCACAAGCACGGUGCUUCAAAGAUGGAGAUCACAAGCACAAGAUGAUGAUGGCCAUAUCAUAUCACUUAUAUUGAUUGUAUGUGAUGUUAAUCCUUUAUGCAUCUUAUCUUGCUUUGAUUGACGGUAGCAUUAUAAGAUGAUCUCUCACUAAAAUUUCAAGAUAAAAGUGUUCUCCCUGAGUAUGCACCGUUGCAAAAGUUCUUCGUGCUCAGACACCACGUGUUAAUCGGGUGUGAUAGGCUCUACGUUCAAAUACAACGGGUGCAAAACAGUUGUACACGCGGAUUACUCAGGUUAAACUUGACGAGCCUAGCAUAUACAGAUAUGGCCUCGGAACACAGAGACCGAAAGGUUGAGCGUGAAUAAUAUAGUAGAUAUGAUCAACAUAGUGAUGUUCACCAUUGAAACUACUCCAUCUCACGUGUUAAUCGGACAUGGUUUAGUUGCUUUGGAUCACGUAAUCACUUAGAUGAUUAGAGAGAUGUCUAUCUAAGUGGGAGUUCUUAAGUAAUAUGAUUAAUUGAACUUAAAUUUAUCAUGAACUUAGUCCUGAUAGUAUUUUGCAAAUUAUGUUGUAGAUCAGUAGCUCGCGUUGUUGCUUCCCUGUGUUUAUUUUUUGUUCCUAGAGAAAAAUUAUGUUGAAAGAUGUUAGUAGCAAAGAUGCGGAUUGGAUCCGUGAUCUGAGGAUUAUCCUCAUUGCUGCACAGAAAAAUUAUGUCCUUGAUGCACCGCUAGGUGACAGAUCUAUUGCAGGAGCAGAUGCAGACGUUAUGAACGUUUGGCUAGCUCAAUAUGAUGACUACUUGAUAGUUUAGUGCACCAUGCUUAACGGCUUAGAAUCGGGACUUCAAAGACGUUUUGAACUUCAUGGACCAUAUGAGAUGUUCCAGGAGUUGAAGUUAAUAUUUCAAGCAAAUACCCGAGUUGAGAGAUAUGAAAUCUCCAACAAGUUCUAUAGCAAAAAGAUGGAGGAGAAUCGCUCAACUAGUGAGCAUGUGCUCAGAUUGUCUGGGUACUACAAUCGCUUGAAUCAAGUGGGAGUUUAUCUUCCAGAUAAAAUAGUGAUUGACAGAAUUCUCUAGUCACCAUCACCAAGUUAGUAGAACUUUGUGAUGAACUAUGGUAUGCAAGGGAUGACGAAAGUAAUUCCCGAGCUCUUCGUGAUGCUGAAAUCGACGAAGGUAGAAAUCAAGAAAAACAUCAAGUGUUGAUGGUUGACGAGACCACUUCAAGUGUUGAUGGUUGACGAGACCGCUAGUUUCAAGAAAAGGGCAAAGGGAAAAAGGGGAACUUCAAAAAGAACGGCAAGCAAGUUGCUGCUCAAGUGAAGAAGCCUAAGUCUGGUCCUAAGCCUGAGACUAAGUGCUUCUACUGCAAACGGACUAGUCACUGGAAGCGGAACUACCCCAACUAUUUGGUGGAUAAGAAGGAUGGCAAAGUGAACAAAGGUAUAUUUGAUAUACAGAUUAUUGAUGUGUACUUUACUAGUGUUUAUAGAAACCCCUCGGUAAUUGAUAUUGGUUCAGUUGCUAAAGAGUAGUAACUCGAAAACGGGAGUUGCAGAAUAAACAGAGACUAGUAAAAGGCGAGGUGACGAUGUGUGUUGGAAGUAGUUCCAAGAUUGAUAUGAUCAUCAUCGCACACUCCCUGUACUUUCGGGAUUAGUGUUGAAACUAAAUAAGUGUUAUUUGGUGUUUGCGUUGAGCAUGAAUAUGAUCUGAUCAUGUUUAUUGCAAUACGGUUAUUCAUUUAAGUUAGAGAACAAUUGUUGUUCUGUUUACAUGAAUAAAACCUUUAUGGUCAUACACACCAACGAAAAUUGUUUGUUGGAUCUCGAUCGUAGUGAUACACAUAUUCAUAAUAUUGAAGCCAAAAGAUGCAAAGUUAAUAAUGAUAGUGCAACUUAUUUGUGGUACUGCCGUUUAGGUCAUAUUGGUGUAAAGCGCAUGAAGAAACUCCAUACUGAUGGGAUUUUGGAAUCACUUGAUUAUGAAUCACUUGAUGCUUGCGAACCUUGCCUCAUGGGCAAGAUGACUAAAACGCCGUUCUCCGGAACUAUGAAGAGAGCAACAGAUUUGUUGGAAAUCAUACAUACAGAUGUAUGUGGUCCGAUGAAUAUUGAGGCUCGUAGUAGGUAUCAUUAUUUUCUGACCUUCAUAGAUGAUUUGAGCAGAUAUGGGUAUAUCUACUUGAUGAAACACAAAGUCUGAAACAUUUGAAAAGUUCAAAGAAUUUCAGAGUGAAGUGGAGAAUCAUCGUAACAAGAAAAUAAAAGUUUCUACAAUAUGAUUGCAGAGGUAAAAUAUUUGAGUUACGAGUUUGGCCUUCAGUUAAAACAAUGUGAAAUAGUUUCACUACUCACGCCACCUGGAACACCACAGUGUAAUGGUGUGUCCGAACGUCAUAACCGUACUUUAUUGGAUAUAGUGCAAUCUAAGAUGUCACUUACCAAUUUACCACUAUCUUUUUGGGUUAUGCAUUAGAGACAGCUACAUUCACGUUAAAUAGGGCACCAUCAAAAUCCGUUGAGACGACGCCUUAUGAACUGUGGUUUGGCAAGAAACCAAAGUUGCCGUUUCUUAAAAUUUUGGGGUUGCGAUGCUUAUGUGAAUAAAUUUCAUCCUGAUAAGCUCAAACCCAAAUAGGAGAAAUGUGUCUUCAUAGGAUACCCAAAGGAGACAGUUGGGUACACCUUCUAUCACAGAUCCGAAGGCAAGACAUUCGUUGCUAAGUAUGGAUCCUUUCUAGAGAAGGAGUUUCUCUCGAAAGAUGUGAGUGGGAGGAAAGUAGAACUUGAUGAGGUAACUGUACCUGCUCCCUUAUUGGAUCACAGAAAUCUGUUCCUGUGACUUCUACACCAAUUAGUGAGGAAGUUAAUGAUGAUGAUCAUGUAACUUCAGAUCAAGUUACUACCAAACCUCGUAGGUAAACCAGAGUAAGACCCGCACCAGAGUGGUACGGUAAUCCUGUUCUGGAGGUUAUGUUACUAGACCAUGACGAACCUACAAACUAUGAAGAAGCGAUGGUGAGCCCAGAUUCCGCAAAAUGGCUUGAGGCCAUGAAAUCUGAGAUGAGAUCCAUGUAUGAGAACAAAGUGUGGACUUUGGUUGACUUGCCCGAUGAUCGGCAAGCAAUUGAGAAUAAAUGGAUUGUCAAGAGGAAGACGGACGCUGAUAGUAGUAUCACUAUCUACAAAGCUAGAAUUGUCGCAAAAAGGUUUUUGACAAGUUCAAGAUGUUGACUACGAUGAGAUUUUCUCACGCGUAUCUAUGCUUAAGUCUGUCCGAAUCAUGUUAGCAAUUGCCGCAUUUUAUGAAAUCUGGCAAAAGGAUAAACAAAACUGCAUUCCUUGAUGGAUUUAUUAAAGAAGAGUUGUAUAUGAUACAACCAGAAGGUUUUGUCAAUCCUAAAGGUGCUAACAAAAUAUGCAAGCUCCAGCGAUCCAUCAAUGGACUGGUGCAAGCAUCUCGGAGUUGGAAUAUACGCUUUGAUAAGUUGAUCAAAGCAUAUAGUUGUACACAUACUUGCGGUGAAGCCUGUAUUUACAAGAAAGUGAGUGGGAGCACUACAACAUUUCUGAUAAGUAUAUGUGAAUGACAUAUUGUUGAUCGGAAAUAAUGUAGAAUUAUUCUGCAAAGCAUAAAUGAGUGUUUGAAAGGAGUUUUUCAAAGAUAGACCUCGGUGAAGCUGCUUACAUAUUGAGCAUCAAGAUCUAUAGAGAUAGAUGAAGACGCUUGAUAAGUUUUUCAAUGAGUACAUACCUUAACAAGAUUUUGAAGUAGUUCAAAAUAGAACAGUCAAAGAAAAGAGUUCUUGCCUAUGUUACAAGGUGUGAAAUUGAGUAAAGACUCAAAGCCCGACCACGGCAAAAGAUAGAAAGAGAAUGAAAGUCAUUCCCUAUGCCUUGGCCAUAGGUUCUAUAAAGUAUGCCAUGCUGUGUACCAGAUCUAUUGUAUACCCUACACUGAUUUUGGCAAGGGAGUACAAUAGUGAUCUAGGAGUAGAUCACUGGACAGCGGUCAAAAUUAUCCUUACUGGAAUAAGGAUAUGUUUCUCGAUUAUGGAAGUGACAAAAGGCUCGUCGUAAAAGGUUACGUCGAUGCAAGUUUUGACACUAAUCUAGAUGACUCUAAGUCUCGGUCUAGAUACAUAUUGAAAGUGGGAGCAAUUAGCUAGAGUAGCUCCAUGCAGAGCAUUGUAGACAUAGAAAUUUGCAAAAUACUUACGGAUCUGAAUGUGACAGACCCGUUGCCUAAAAUUAUCUCACAAGCAAAACAUGAUCACACCUUAGUACUCUUUGGGUGUUAAUCACAUAGCGAUGUGAACUAGAUUACUGACUCUAGUAAACCCUUUGGGUGAUGGUCACAUGACGAUGUGAACCAUGGGUGUUAAUCACAUGGUGAUGUGAACUAUUCAUGUUAAAUCACAUGGCGAUGUGAACUAGAUUAUUGACUCUAGUGCAAGUGGGGGACUGAAGGAAAUAUGCCCUAGAGGCAAUAAUAAAGUUAUUGUUUAUUUCCUUAUAUCAUGAUAAAUGUUUAUUAUUCAUGCUAGAAUUGUAUUAACCGGAAACAUAAUACAUGUGUGAAUACAUAGACAAACAGAGUGUCACUAGUAUGCCUCUACUUGACUAGCUCGUUAAUCAAAGAUGGUUAUGUUUCCUAGCCAUAGACAUAAGUUGUCAUUUGAUUAACGAGAUCACCUCAUUAGGAGAAUGACGUGAUUGACUUGACCCAUUCCGUUAGCUUAGCACCCGAUCGUUUAGUAUGUUGCUAUUGCGUUCUUCAUGACUUAUACAUGUUCCUCUGACUAUGAGAUUAUGCAACUCCCGUUUACCGGAGGAACACUUUGUGUGCUACCAAACGUCACAACGUAAAUGGGUGAUUAUAAAGGUGCUCUACAGGUGUCUCCAAAGGUACUUGUUGGGUUGGCGUAUUUCGAGAUUAGGAUUUGUCACUCCGAUUGUCGGAGAGGUAUCUCUGGGCCCACUCGGUAAUGCACAUCACUAUAAGCCUUGCAAGCAUUGUGACUAAUAAGUUAGUUGCGGGAUGAUGUGUUACGGAACGAGUAAAGAGACUUGCCGCUAACGAGAUUGAACUAGGUAUCGAGAUACCGACGAUCGAAUCUCGGGCAAGUAACAUACUGAUGACAAAGGGAACAACGUAUGUUGUUAUGCGGUCUGACCGAUAAAGAUCUUCGUAGAAUAUGUGGGAGCCAAUAUGGGCAUCCAGGUCCCGUUAUUGGUUAUUGACCGGAGACGUGUCUCGGUCAUGUCUACAUAGUUCUCGAACCCGUAGGGUCCGCACGCUUAAAGUUACGAUGACAGUUUUAUUAUGAGUUUAUGUAUGUUGAUGUACCGAAAGAGUUCGGAGCCACGGAUGAGAUCGGGGACAUGACGAGGAGUCUCGAAAUGGUCGAGACAUAAAGAUCGAUAUAUUGGACGACUAUAUUCGGACUUCGCAAAGGUUCCGAGUGAUUCGGGUAUUUUUCGGAGUACCGGAGAGUUACGGGAAUACGUAUUGGGCCUUAUUGGGCCAUACGGGAAAGAAGAAAAAGGGCCUCAAGGGUGGCCGCACCCCUCCCCUUGGUCUGGUCCGAAUUGGACUAGGGAAGGGGGGCGCCCCCUUCCUUCCUUCUCUUUUUCCCUUCCUCUUUUCCUAUUCUAUAUGGGAGGUGGAAUCCUACUAGGACUCCACACUUGGUGCGCCCCCUCCUAGGGCCGGCCUCCUCCUCCCUUGCUCCUUUAUAUACGGGGGCAGGGGGGCACCCCAGAGACACAACAAUUGAUCCUUGAGAUUUUUUAGCCGUGUGCGGUGCCCCCUCCACCAAAUUACACCUCGAUAAUAUCAUUGCGGAGCUUAGGCGAAGCCCUGCGUCGGUAGAACAUCAUCACCGUCACCACGCCGUCGUGCUGACGAAACUCUCCCUCAACACUCGGCUGGAUCGGAGUUCGAAGGACGUCAUCGAGCUGAACGUGUUAGAACUCGGAGGUGCCGUGCGUUCGGUACUUGAUCGGUCGGAUUGUGAAGACGUACGACUACAUCAACCGCGUUGUGAUAACGCUUCCGCUGUCGGUCUACGAGGGUACGUGGACAACACUCUCCCCUCUCGCUGCUAUGCAUCACCAUGAUCUUGCGUGGGCGUAGGAAAUUUUUUGAAAUUACUACGUUGCCCAACAGGUGGCCGGUUAUAGCAAUCUUGGAGAUUACCUACCCGACGAUGUACAAUAUGAAAUCAUGGAGGUGGACGAACACAAAUACCAUUACGGGAAGCCUCUCGUCAAAGAUGAAAGAUCUCUAACAACCAUGAUGCAAAGAUUACAUGAUUGGUACAUGAAAACCUGCAUAGAGUCUGAUGGGAUGGAUACUUUGACGCUGAGAGUUAAACCGGAGCAUGACCUCGUUGGAAUUGAACUGCUGAAUGUUCCAUUUCAGGAUUUCUUCCAGUUUUACAAUCAAAGGGCCCUCAAUAAAAUAACGAUCACUUGCUACUGUCUGUAAGUAGUACUACUUCUGUCAUUAAGUCUCUCUAUAUAGGUCAGCUCUUUCAUUGCAUUUAUUUAUAAUUAUCCUCACUAUAUUAUGCAGAUUGAAGAUCGCCGAAUUGAAGAAAAGACAAAUCGGUGAUAUUGGGUUCAUUAACACAAAUCUCAUAGAUGCAUAUACGGUUGAAAAACAUCCCAAAGAAGCCGAGGCCAACUUGCUACGAUCGUUGGUAUUAAAUCAAAACAAAGAUAUACUACUCUUUCCUUACAACUACAAGUGAGUGUUACUGUCUUGUGCAUAUUCGGUUUCCCUUAUUAGUCCAGGUUAUGGUAAUGUAAUUGAUGACUUAUGCAUGCAUGCGCAGCUUCCACUAUAUUCUCCUAGAGAUUAAGCUUGAGCAGGGAGUAGUAACCGUCUUAGACUCGAGACGAAAAGAUCCCCAGGACUAUGCGAACAUGACUCAAAUGCUCGAGAAGUAAGUUAAAUCGAUCAUUAUCCACCAUAUCAGAAACUUUGUUCAUUUCCUGAUAUCAAGUAAUUGUUUUCUUUGUCUGGCAGGGUUUGGAGAAAAUUCACCACAAAAGCUCCGGGACUGCCGAAGAAGCUGCAAUUUAGACACCCGAAAGUAAGUACUAUAGUAGCAUGUUCCGCGCAUCUCCUAGUGAUUCAAGCGCUAGUUUCAUCAAUACCAUUUAGCAUGCUUGCUUAUCAGUUUGAUUGACCUCUAUUUCUUGUAAAGUGGUUGUGGCAGGAACCCGAGAAUAAUUACUGUGGAUACUACGUUUGCGAGUCCAUCCGCCACACGACCUGUGAGCGGGGCUACUCUGACAAACAAUAUGAAGUGCGUAAGCAAUAAUAUUCACAAUUUUAUUUUAUUACCAUCAUUUGUGUCGAGUUUCAUUUAUUCAUAUAUAUAUAUGUAUUGACCCCCUUCUUCAAAUUAGAUCUUUCAGAUGCGUGAUGAACUCCUAGCACCAGAUCGUAUGCGAGGAAUUCAAGAGGAAUUGGCGGCAUUCUUCCUUGACCACGUCAUCGCUGAAAACGGAGAAUACUAUGUGGACCCUGUGUUCAUAUAUAAUUAGGAGAUUAUAUUGUAAGAGAUAAUUAUUGUAUAUAUGUAGCCGGUAGUGUCGGAUAGAUAUACGAGAACUUGUUGUUCGACCAAUCUCUCGGAGAAGGAGAGGUGGUCGAUAUCACUUCUCUCUGUAUGAAUAUGUUCAUGACGAUCUUCUGUUUCCUUCAUUUGCUUACUAGAUAGCGUGUCUAGUCCUCUCUAUACGUAUAUAGUACAUAGCGUCGACCAAGCACGGAGAUAAGAGAGGACACUUCUCUCUAUUAAUUAGCUAGCUAACACAAUAUAUGAAACACCUAAAUUAACCCCCCAAAACCCCCCAACCCCCCCCCCCCUUCNNNNNNNNNNNNNNNNNNNNNNNNNNNNNNNNNNNNNNNNNNNNNNNNNNNNNNNNNNNNNNNNNNNNNNNNNNNNNNNNNNNNNNNNNNNNNNNNNNNNNNNNNNNNNNNNNNNNNNNNNNNNNNNNNNNNNNNNNNNNNNNNNNNNNNNNNNNNNNNNNNNNNNNNNNNNNNNNNNNNNNNNNNNNNNNNNNNNNNNNNNNNNNNNNNNACAAAAACCCCAGCCCCUGAAAUGCUGACACGUGGAUGCCUACUGGUCCCGGUUGGUGACACCAACCGGGACAAAAGGCCCUGCCUAUUGGUCCCAGUUGGUGACACCAACCGGGACAAAAGGCCCUGCCUAUUAGUCCCGGUUGAUGGCACCAACCGGGACCAAAGGCCCCCCUGCCUGGGCUGGUAGCGGCGGCCACGUGGAGAACCUUCUGUCGCGGUUCGUGUAAGAACCGGGACUAAAGGGUUAGGGCUUUAGUAACGACCCUUUAGUCCUGGUUCGAAAACCGGGACAAAAGGCCCUUACAAACCGGGGUAAAAGCCCCUUUUCCUACUAGUGGCAGGGGCGACAAAGCGUCUCCUUACAAAAGGCCUUUCCAUGCCGAGUAGGAUUGCCGGGGACCCCGUCUAGGAGAACCCAAGAAGUAGAGGUGGGUAUAAGAGUAGUCAGCCACCCAUGGUAUCUCAUGGGGAGCCUCUAUUUUUCAUUAAUUAAGUCAAGCAAGUACCCACAUCUAACAGAGUCAAAAGCGUUCUUGAUGUCCAACUUAAGGAGGAGGGAUGGGGUGUUUGACCUAUGGAGCCGAUGACCAUAAUUUCGAACAUACAAAAAAUUGUCAUGGAUGCUUCUGGAUUUCACGAAAGAACCUAGGGUGUGCGAGAUUAGGGUGUUCAUGAAGGGGGCGAGUCUCAUUGCCAUGAUCUAGGCCACAAUCUUAGCACCCUCUUUUUUCAUGAAUUAGACUGAUGGACCAGAAAUUUGUGAUGGACACGGCACCCUCUUUUUUCGGCAAUAGGGCCACAUUUGUUGAGUUCAGCCAAUGAAUUUUUUUGGAUGCAUGCUUGAAAAACCAGAUACAACUUCCAUAAGUUCCCCUUUGACUAUAGGCCAACAACUCUUAAAAACGCCCCUAUAAAUCCGUUCAGACCGGUGCCUUGUCACUUUGCAUGGCUUCAUGGUGGCAAGAACAUCCUCCGAAAUAUCCCACUUGGUUCCGAAGAUGGACCUCUCGGAGCUCACAACCAUGCAUGUAGAUUUGCACGAAACCGACUAAUGCACACAUGGUUCACAUUUCACUUAUUUUUAUCUCGUGGAUGGUAAAUUUGGCUAAAAUCUCCUUUGACAAGACACAUGACCCAUUGGGCCGGUUUAUGAUCAAGAAGCUCUGAAAAAAAUACCUUUUCUAUUGCUCGCCGUUGGGCCAUACACAGAAGUAAUACGUAAUGAAACUUAAUCUCUAGUCAUGGUGAUGGUGACAGAAAGGCACUAAGGCAGUAAGUGCCCAUGGUGAUGUCCACGGCCUGGAAGAGAUCAUCAUUCCACAAGAUUGCAAUCCCCCCUCCAAUGCCGUUGGCCGGCAUUUGUGUGAAACCUUUCAUCCUGAAACAUCAAAGCUAAGUAGCGGUUGCCUCGAUGUCAUGAAGCUUACAACGUGUUUGGUUGAUGUCCACAGCAUUGUAAGCCUGGCCUGGACCAUGCCUGAGAUAUGCCUGGCAGUUGUUUGGUUCUUAGCCUGAGAGAGAACAUGCUUUGCUUGGCUUAGGUGUUCCUAGCAAGGCAGUUAGCAUGAGCUCUUUAUAAGAAAAUAGAAGAAAUGGAAUGCCUAGUCCAGGCACUAGUCUUUACCCUGGCCCAGGCGUCCUAUUUUUUGUGCCUAUCGUGCUGCAACAUCAGUCCUGGUAGCCAUCGGUACUAUUUAAAACAGUAAACAAUUCAGUAAUGACACUACUAGGCCAGAGAAGAAACCAAACACAAGUACACCAGGCUAAAACAUUCCAUCAUCUCAGGCAUGCCUCCUUCCCAGGCAUAGUGUCUAGAGUCCAAAUCAAACGGCUCCGGAAAGUAUGCAAUGUUGGAAGCCGAUGCCACAAUGGACUCAUGUGCACCGUGGUUCUCCUAUAUCUGGGCAGUUGCCCUCGCACAUUCCGGUUCACAAUGCAAGCCGUACACCAUGUAUUUGUGAUACUGGAGGUAAUCACACCUUAGUAUUAUGACUUCACAUUGACCUACAUCAGCUUUAGAGCUAUCAUCCGGAUUGUGGACAUGCUUCUGAAGUCAUGAUAGAUGUUCUCCAGUAGAACAUAUCUUACACCUCCAAGAAAAUUUAGAUUUGACAUUAACUUACAAAAAGUCAACACAGACUAAUAAUAAGAGAUACUACCAUUGUCAACAGCUGCACAGGAACAGCUGCCAAUGGUAUUUACAAUUUCAACCAACCAGCCCUGCGCCCCCAACUGCGAUCCCCCAAUUGAAGAGACGAAACAGAGACAUACAAUAACAUGAGUGGCACACAAAUAGCACUAGGAGAAUACUAGUAGUUCUGAUCGAUACAACGUCAUCACUUGCGGACGUAAACUUAAGACCCAAUAGUUGAUGAAAAAAACUUAAGACACAAUUGAUCGAUCGCCAGGACGAAUCCUACUCUAAUCCAUGGCACACAUUAGACAGACAGAUAGAUGCUGCUAAGUAGAUCAAGCUUCUUGGUCGCUGUCGUGGGGGAUGACCUCGUACUGGUCGGUGGGGAGGUUGGCCCUUGGGUGUCGUCGUUGAAGACGUCGACCUGGACAUAGGCGUAGCCGUCACGCUUGAAGUCGGCUUGGACCCUCUCGUUCUCGUCGCGCUCGGCCUUGAUGGCGUCCAUGGCCUCGCGGAGCUCCUCCGGGAAGUUGGGCAGGGGAUCGCCAGGCUUCUUGUCCCACUCGAGCAGCCACUUGAUGUAGCUGUUCCGAUGGUCUAUCUUCACCAUCACCUGCUUCUUGAUCCCAUACCCCUCGUCAAGGUACAACCUCAACCACUCGGGGGAUGCAGGCGCCGCCAUCGAGAUCAAUUCCGUCGGAACCUCCCCUUCUCGAUCUGGUUGGGUGGGUUGUUGUGUGGAUACUAUGUUGGCCAGGUGCUCCGGGGUGCCGUACAUAUAGUCGCCCCAAGCGGCCAAGCGGCCAUGCCCUAUCUCUGUCGGAAACGGGUUCCUUAGCAGGCGGCUAAAGGAAGACGUCCCAUGGGCUUGCAUAAAAUUUGGGGAACCUUUAGCAUCAAGCGCCGGCUUGUUCUAAAUAAAAACAGAAAAAGAAAAAACCGUGGCCAAAUCCAGUUCUCGUGCUGCCCAUGUAGGGCAAUAAGCCACGGCGGGCUCGGACGCGGUGCGCGUGUGUGCGUGCGGUGGACGCGUCGGGUCCGGCCCGUGGUGGGCACGGGUGCGUGUGUGCAUGUCCGUGGAUGUGUGCGUGUGUGCGUGAGUUAGUUGAUGCAAUGCGCGGGUGUCGAGACCACGUCCGGCGUCGGGUGCGGCCACGGCGGUCGCGUAGGCGCGCGAGGGGCGUGUGCGAGUCGGAGCGCGCGGGACGUAGGGAGUGGGUGAGUGGGUGCGUAUGGGCACGGGCUGGGCACGCGGGUAUGAAGCCCUCACCCCACCGGUGUAUUGUGUUGUGUGUUCGACUUUGACCUCGAGGAGAAAACAGAAAAACGCUGUUCGUGCGGCAGGGUGUUAGUGUGCCCGAAAAUCCUCUGUGUCCUUCUUCUUCCUCCUGUCGGACCUUGUCUCUGGUGAUCGCCGUCGUCUGCUAGGGCUAGUUGCGCCAGCAUUUGGUAUCAGAGUGAGGAGCGAGGGGCUUGUCGACGGCGAUGGCGAUCGUGCCGCACGACGCAGGCGGGAGCUCGGUGUCGAUGGCGAUGCCGAUGCUCACACCGGACAACUACAUGGUGUGGGCGAUCAAGGCACAUGCCAUCCUCGACACCCACACUCUCUGGGAGGCGGUGGCGCCGACGGGAGAUGCAGUGGUCGACGGGAAGAAGUGCAAGACGGCGCGCGCCAUGCUCCUCGGCACGCUGGUGGAGGAUAGUCUGUUGCAGGUGUCGGCGAAGCUCACGGCCAGGGAGGUAUGGGACUCCCUGAAGGUGCGUUUCAUCGGCGCUGAUCGGGUGUGGGCAGCCCGGCUCGCGACGCUGCGCGGGGACUUCGAUCGGCUGCGAAUGGCGGAUGGCGAGGCUCUGGACGUCUACGUCGGUAGGCUGGGCGCGAUGACGGCGCGCUACGCGAGCUUGGGGGCGACGCUCGGAGACGCGGCGCUCGUGAAGAAACUCCUGGACACCGUCCCCGACCACUUGUGCCCCGCCGUCGCCGGGAUUGAGCAAUUCUGCAACAUCGACGAGAUGGCGUUCGAUGAGGCGCUUGGGCGACUGCGUGCGUUCGACGAGCAGACGCAGCAUCGCGGACAAGACGGCGGCGAGCACGGGGGCGAUCAGCUGCUCCUGACGGUGGCGCAGUGGGCGGCGCGGGAACGGCAGCAGGGCAGCGCUCGGGACGACGGCGGCGGCAGGAGCGUGGCGUCGGGCAACGGCGGGAACCGGCGCAGCCGCUGCUACAACUGCGGGCAGCGCGGCCAUUUCCGGCGCGACUGCACUCAUCAAAGGAAGGCGGCGGUGGUGGAGGAGCGGGCGUUGUUGGCGGACGUCGGCGUUGUGGACGCCGGCCUCCUCUAGGCCGUGGCUUAGGUGGCUGAAUGUAGGGCAAUAAGCCACGGCAGGCUCGGUCGCGGUGCCCGUGUCUGCAUGCGGUGGACGCUUCGGGUCCGGCCCGUGGCGGGCACGGGGCAUGCGUGUGUCCGUGGAUGUGUGCGUGUGUGCGUGUGUGCGUGAGUUAGUUGGCGCAAUGCGCGGGUGUGAAGACCGCGUCGGACGUCGGGUGCGGCCGCGGCGAUCGCGUAGGCCUGCGAGGGGCGUGCACGAGCCGGAGUGUGCGGGACGUGGGGAGUGGGUGCGUAUGGGCACGGGCUGGCGUGUCUGGUCACGCGGGUAUAAAGCCCUCACCUCACCGGUGUAUUGUGUUGUGUGUUCGAGUUCGAACUCGAGGAGAAAACAAAAAAAAGUCGUUCGUGCGGCAGGGUGUUUGAGAGCCGAAAAAUCCUCUGUGCUCUUCUCCUCUCCGACUUUGUCUCCGGUGAUCGCCGUCGUGUGCUGGGGCUAGCUGCGCCAACACCCCAGACUGCAGUUUUUCUGCCCCCAGCCAUCUCUCUCUGACGCCCCACGCUCAGUCCCCCCAUUCAGAGCCCUCAUCUCCGCAGCCCUCGUGCUUCCCAAACACACCUUCUCACUUCCUCCCAGUCACCUACGCAUGGCUCUCCUUUGAGCUGCCGCAAGGCUGACUGGCCACACGCGACGCGGGCAGGGGCACAGUGUUGCAAGGGCCGCACGGCAGCGCCGAGCUGCAUCCGACAUGGCUACAAGAUGCGACAUCUCGCAUGGCGGCGAGCUGCGACAAUCAUGGCGCGAGAAGCUGGAACCAUAGUUGUGGAGGUUGCUAAAACCGUGGAAUCGGCUUGCUGGAACUGUGACCGCGGCGAGCUGGAACCAUGGUCGUGGGUUGCUGCAACCAUUGACAUGAAAAGCUUCCACCGUAUAUCAGAAAAGUUUCAGUCAGCAAUAGAAAAUUCUUCAACCAUGGCACUGCGCAAGAGAAAAUAUUACGACUAUUGACGUGAAAGCUUCCCCAUAAAUGAAAAAACAGAAAAAAGUACAAUCGCUGAUAGAGAAAGCUUCGACCAUAGUUGGAAAAAGCUUCAACCUGCGACAGAACAAGCUGCGGGGCGAGCCGAUGACCCACACGGCGAUUUUGCACCCACGUGUUGCGACAGUAGCGUUGCGGCGAGUCGACGAGCUCAGGCGACAGGCGAGAUAGGAGGGUGCUGUUGUGGGGCUGAAACCGUCCAAUGGCAGAUCCGCUGUUCUGGAUGCGGAAUCCAUGGCAACAUGAGAACGAGGCAUGCUCGUAGACGAAUGGGAGAACGAAGACGACGAGCUGCGAUGUGAGUUGUUUCUUUGCAAGAGGACGGCUGUAGCCCUCACCGGAGCGCAUGCAUGCGAUUGCUGAGGGCGGAGACACCUGUGGCGGGGCGAGGGCUAGCAGGCAGAAAGAGAAUCGUGUUUCCUUUUUGCGUUGACCAAGAGGAAGGAGACGAUUCAGAAAGAGGCAUCGUACAAUGCGGAUGGCUCAAUCUAGUUGCUGCGAAGCGGCCAGCCGGGUGCUUGCGCCGGUCUACCGACACCUAGCGCCUGCCAAAAAAUCAAGCGCCGUUUUUUUGACAAUGUAAGACUUUAUUUCUCAGAUAAGGUGAGAAAUAAAGUCCGGGAUAGCAUCUUCCCAACCUUGAGAGGAUCUAAUAGACAAGGAUGAUUUAGCUACACAAUCAAGCCCCGGUUGAUUACAUGUUGUGUCAGACUGACUAAGUGUUGUCAAUGAUAUUGAGACAGAAGAGGAGGAAUACAUGAAGCUAUUAUCAGAAAGAUCAAUUCCCAGAGAUCAUAUGGGACCCUCUAUAAAAAAAAUAUGAAUUUAGAGUUUGAACUAUGAAGCUCGCUACUUUUUUUGAUACAAUGAAACUCGCAACUUAGCUUUUUUUAAGACAGACUCGCUACCUUUAUUAUGUCAUCACCACAUUUACAGGGACGAAAAUAAGGUUUCCGGGUUGGCCUAACCAUGCACGGCGGCGAAGCCCUAAAGUCAGACCAUGUUUAGCAAGAUUGUGAGCCUCAACAUUUGAGGUUCAAAACUCACGACUAAUGAUACAAUAAUUAAAACUAGAAAUAUGCUCUCUAAUCUCAUUAAUCACCGCAUCAUAAGGGGGCGCGCUACCACUACUAAUAGCAUCAACCACUACCUUGCAAUCUGGACCAUGAAGAUCCUUUGAGAGUAUGUGUCCUCCGCAGGAGCCAUUGUCUCACUUACUGCUAACGCCUCGAGAGUGGGGGGUCUAUUAUGCGAGGGGAAAACAUAGUUGAAGCUCCAAUGAACAUCCAGUCUUGGUCUCGACAGAUCACCACUAAAGCCCCAAACUACCCAUUCCUCGAGAUGGCAGCAUCAACAUUAAUCUUUACAUUUCUCGUCGGCGGUGAAAUCUAGUGGUUCGGUUUUGCGACCGCAGAAGCUUGCCUUGUCUUGUUAUUCUUCUGCAUGAGCCCAUUUAUCAAACGUUUAUCGACCGUUUACCGACCAAGGACUCUGGAAAAUGUCCUCAUGAAUAGCUUUUCUUCGUGAACUCCAAAUUGCCCAUAGAAAAGUUUACAAACCAGAAUUACCGUUCCCUCAUGGUUCCCAAUUCCGGCGGGUGGGGGUACCUUUCGGGUGAGCGACUCGACCUUGGCUCUGACAAGGUCGAGCCCGUCCUUCAUCUCCUUGAGGGCGGCGAGCAGCUUGCACUAGUAGAAAAAGGGGCUUUUACCCCGGUUGGUAAGGGCCUUUUGUCCCGGUUUUCGAACCGGGACUAAAGGGUCGUUACUAAAGCCCUAACCCUUUAGUCCCGGUUCUUACACGAACCGGGACAGAAGGUCCUCCACGUGGCCGCUGCUGCCAGCCCAGGCAGGGGGGCCUUUGAUCCCGGUUGGUGACACCAACCGGGACCAAUAGGCAGGGCCUUUGUCCCGGUUGGUGUCACCAACCGGGACCAAUAGGCAUCCACGCGUCAGCAUUUCAGGGGCUGGGGUUUUUUUUGAAAUGGGGGGGGGGGUUUGGGGGGUUUUGGGGGGUUAAUUUAGGUGUUUCAUAUAUUGUGUUAGCUAGCUAAUUAAUAGAGAGAAGUGUCCUCUCUUAUCUCCGUGCUUGGUCGACGCUACGUACUAUAUACGUAUGGAGAGGACUAGACACGCUAGCUAGUAAGCAAAUGAAGGAAAUAGAAGAUCGUCAUGAACAUAUGCAUACAGAGAGAAGUGAUAUCGACCACCUCUCCUUCUCCGAGAGAUUGGUCGAACAACAAGUUCUCGUAUAUCUAUCUGACACUACCGGCUACAUAUAUAGAAUAAUUAUCUCUUACAAUAUAAUCUCCUAAUUAAAUUGUAAGAACACAGGGUCCACAUAGUAUUCUUCGUUUUCAGCGAUCACGUGGUCAAGGAAGAAUGCCGCCAAUUCCUCUUGAAUUGCUCGCAUACGAUCUGGUGCUAGGAGUUCGUCCCGCAUCCGAAAGAUCUAAUUUGAAGAAGGGGGUCAAUACAUAUAUAUAUGAAUAAAUGAAACUCGACACAAAUGAUGGUAAUAAAAUAAAAUUGUGAAUAUUAUUGCUUACGCACUUCAUAUUGUUCGUCGGAGUAGCCCCGCUCACAGGUCGUGUGGCGGAUGGACUCGCAAACGUAGUAUCCACAGUAAUUAUUCACGGGUUCCUGCCACAACCACUUUACAAGAAAUAGAGGUCAAUCAAACUGAUAAGCAAGCAUGCUAAAUGGUAUUGAUGAAACUAGCGCUUGAAUCACUAGGAGAUGCGCGGAACAUGCUACUAUAGUACUUACUUUCGGGUGUCUAAAUUGCAGCUUCUUCGGCAGUCCCGGAGCUUUUGUGGUGAAUUUUCUCCAAACCCUGCCACACAAAGAAAACAAUUACUUGACAUCAGGAAAUGAACAAAGUUGCUGAUAUGGUGGAUAAUGAUCGAUUUAACUUACUUCUCGAGCAUUUGAGUCAUGUUCGCAUAGUCCUGGGGAUCUUUUCGUCUCGAGUCUAAGGCGGUUACUACUCCCUCCUCAAGCUUAAUCUCUAGAAGAAUAUAGUGGAAGCUGCGUAUGCAUGCGUAAGUCAUCAAUUAAAUUACCAUAACCUGGACUAAUAAGGGAAACCGAAUAUGCACAAGACAGUAACACUAACUUGAAGUUGUAAGGAAAGAGUAUUAUAUCUUUGUUUUGAUUUAAUACCAACGAUCGUAGCAAGUUGGCCUCGGCUUCUUUGGCAUGUUUUUCAACCGCAUGUGCAUCUAUGAGAUUUGUGUUAAUGAACCCAAUAUCACCGAUUUGUUUUCUUCAAUUCGGCAAUCUUCAAUCUGCAUAAUAUAGUGAGGAUAAUUAUAAAUACAUGCAAUGAAAGAGCUGACCUAUAUAGAGAGACUUAAUGACAGAAGUAGUACUACUUACAGACAGUAGCAAGUGAUCGUUGAUUUAUCGAGGGCCUUUUGAUAGAAAAACUGGAAGAACUCCUCAAAUGGAACAUUCAGCAGUUCAAUUCCAACGAGGUCAUGCUCCGGUUUAACUCUCAGCGUCAAAGUAUUCAUCCCAUCAGACUCUCUGCAGGUUUUCAUGUACCAAUCAUAUAAUCUUCGCAUCAUGGUUGUUAGAGAUCUUUCAUCUUUGACGAGAGGCUUCCCGUAAUGGUAUUUGUGUUCCUCCACCUCCAUGAUUUCAUAAUGUACAUCGUCGGGCAGGUAAUCUCCAAUAUUGCUAUAACCGGGCACCAUCCUCGGAUCAUUAGCGACGAUGUCGCUAGACAUCCUCGGAUCAUUAGCAAAUUUUUUCCCAGCUCGUCGUUCUUUUAACCUUUGAUCACUGACAGUACUUUCCGACCGCUCCGCUUCGGCAAAUGUCUUUGCAAUAAUGCGCUCAUAGUUGCCUUUCGGCGGAGACUUUGGUGGUUUUGUCAGGGCAGCCAGAGUGCGCUUCGCUUUCACCGGAUCUACCUUCUCCUCCGGAGGUGGAUGUUUCUUUGCUUUCACCCCUUCAAAGAAGUUCGUCACUUCGGCUCGCACGAUCUUCCUGGUUUCCUCCUCGGUCCUCUCAUAUGGUAACUUCUCUGGAGUCUUCAGAGAAGGACCGAAUCUGUAUUGCCUCCCACCUCUGGCAGCUGUACUGCUAGACGCCGGCAGAGCAGACGGAGCGGCUGCGGCUGUCUUCUUUCCUUGCUUACGAGGCGGAGGAGAAGGACUACGAUGCGCCGGAGCAGCCGGAGCGGCGGCGGGUCUCUUCCGCCCUUGCUGACGAGGCGGAGAAGGAGGAGGCUGGCUGCUCUGGCACGCCGGCGCAGGCGGAGAAGGAGGCGGAGUGCCGCCACGCGCCGGAGAAGGAGGCUGAGUGCCAUGAUCACUCGCCGGAGGAGGAGGCGGAGGAGGAGGCGAAGUGCCGCCACGCGCCGGAGAAGGAGGCUGAGUGCCCUGAUCACUCGCCGGAGGAGGAGGCGGCGGAGUGCCCUUACUCGCCGGAGGCGUCCAGUUCGGAAGGUUAAUGAGCUCCUUCAGCCAUAGGCACGGAGUCUUCAGAGCUAAACCCAGCCGAGUCUCCCCUUCACCGGUAGGGUGGUCAAGCUGGAGGUCCUAAAAUCCCUCCGUUAUUUCAUCCACCAUCACCCUAGCAUAUCCUUCUGGAAUCGGCCGGCAGUGGUAGGUUGCGCCGGGUUCAGGAGGUAAAACAGAGCCAACAACCGCCUUGACUUUGAAGUUCUGCCAUUGCGCCAUAAGGUGGCAAUGUUGAGACUCCGUGAUAGCAUCCACGGGGUAGCUAGCAGGAGCCGUCAAGACAUGCUCUGGCUGAAGCAGCUCAGUGGAAGCCACGCUGCUUCUCCGCUGAGACGGCGGGGUAGCUUCGGGGGUAGUUUCGGCAUGUCGAUUGCCGUCUCGUUCCUCUAGCGCUUGAACCCUUUCGUGCAGCUUCUGAAUUUGGGUCUGCUCCAUUUUUUUCAUACUCUCCUGGCUUUUGUAACCGACUGCGUCCGGAAAACCAGCCUUCCACGGAACGGAGCCUGGCGUGCCUCGUGUCCGUCUAGGGUGCUCAGGAUUCCCGAGGGCCAUUGCGAGCUCGUCGUUCUCUCUGUCUGGAACAAACGUCCCUUCCUGCGCUGCAUCGAUAUAUUGAUGAAUCUUCUUGACUGGUAUUCUCAAAAUCUCGUUCGUCCAAAUGCACCUCCCUGAUACAGGGUCCAAUUUUCCACCAGCCCCGAAGAACCAAGUCCGGCAACGGUCUGGCCAGUUCAUUGUCUGUUGUUCGAUCCCUUUUUGAAGCAGAUCAUUCUCAGCCUUGGCCCACUUAGGCCGGGCUUUGAGGUAGCCACCUGACCCCGUGUGAUGGUGAAGCUUCUUCUUCGCGGCAUUCUUCUUGUUUGUCGCUGACAUCUUCUUACUCUUUUCCGAUGUCUUGUGGGCCACAAAUGCGGGCCAGUGAUCUCUGAUCUUCUCAGACCGGCUGAUGAAUUCUGGUGUCUCUUCUUUGUCGACAAACAUUUUCAGCUCAUUCUUCCACCUCCUGAAUAGGUCUUUCAUCUUCUUAAGAGCAUGAGACUUGAUUAAUUGCUCUUUAACUGGCUUCUCCAGAUCCUCCUCUGGCGGUAGGGUGAAAUUUGCCUUCAGCUCAGUCCAAAGAUCAUCUUUCUGCAUAUCAUUGACAUAAGACACCUCAGGGUCUUCCUUCUUAGGCUUAUACCAUUGGUGGAUGCUGAUCGGGAUCUUGUCCCUAACAAGAACCCCGCACUGAGCAGCAAAUGCUUCCUUUGUCCGGAUGGGUUCAAUGGUUGGCCGUUGCGCGCGAUUGCUGUGAUCUCAAACCUUUCAUCCGAGCGCAACUUUCUCUUCGGGCCUCGUCUCUUUACCGAAGUUGUGCUUGAUCCGGAGGGCUAGAAAAAAGAAGAAAGAUGAGAGUUAAUUAAUAUGUGUACAUACCAAAACAAUGAAUGGAUCAAUUAGCUAGUCAGCACAGGCUUAACUAAUAUAUUUACCUGGGCGGACUCUGUUCGGUCACCGGAGCCGUCACCACGGGCUCCUUCUUGCACCAGCAUUGGGUCACCGGAGCCAUCAUAAUCAUGUAUUUCCUCCUCCACUCUUCGAUCACCGUAGCCUGCUUCUUCACCAUGUUCUUCCAGACCAUCAUUGUCAUUAAGAUACGACAAGAUAUCACCUCCGGCUAAGAUUAUGUCCCCCAACACCUCUUCUGCUUGCUCGUCUCGUCCGUGCUCCAUUGUUUCUGCAAAUAUUACAACAUGGCAAUUAUUACACAAACAUGACAGCAGGUGGAUAUAUUAGUGCAAACGUAGACCUAGCUUAUUCCGGGUUUGGGGUGGCCUCGGCAACGCUUCAAGGGUAGGGGCGCGGCGGGAGGGGGUAGGAGACCGACAUCGUUUUUUCUAGGAUUUGGGUGUCCUUGAGAGUUCUGGUCGAGCGAGAGGGCCCGGGGGUGCUCGCGUGGUAUAAGUUAUCACGGUCGAAGUUAUCCGGGAGGGGGAGGCAACUGGCGAUGAAAACUAAAACUUUUCACAAGUGUUUGUUAUAUAGUCCGACGUCCCCCCCCCCCUCAUGUCGAAGUUAUCGGGGAGGGCCUGGGUAGAUCGACAACGACGACGCUCUUUUUCUAGGGUUUGGGUGGCCUCAAUAGUUGGUCGGGCAAGCGGACCGCCUCUCUCUCAUGCAUGUCCGACGUCCCCCCUCAUGUCAAAGUUAUCGGGGAGGGGGUAAAUUUUAAAGAAAAAAUAAUCUAUAUAUCACAAUAUCAAUAUUUUCUAUAUACAUACAUCCAUACAUACAUACACAUACAUAUACAUCUACAUUAAUUAUAUAUAUGAACAAAAAAAUACUAAUUCUAUGAACAUAAAAAGGUCUAUGAACAAAAAAACAUCACAUCAAUAUUUUCAUCCAUCCAUACAUACAUACAUACAUACAUAUAUAUAUACAUCUACAUUAUAUAUGAACAAAAAAAUACACAAACUUUACUAAUAAAAAAAGACAGCAGGCCGGGGCGGCGGCAGCUCACAGCAUGGGUGGCGACGGCGACGGCGACGGCGACGGCGGGGGCGGGGCAGGGCGCGGGCUCUGGGGCNNNNNNNNNNNNNNNNNNNNNNNNNNNNNNNNNNNNNNNNNNNNNNNNNNNNNNNNNNNNNNNNNNNNNNNNNNNNNNNNNNNNNNNNNNNNNNNNNNNNNNNNNNNNNNNNNNNNNNNNNNNNNNNNNNNNNNNNNNNNNNNNNNNNNNNNNNNNNNNNNNNNNNNNNNNNNNNNNNNNNNNNNNNNNNNNNNNNNNNNNNNNNNNNNNNNNNNNNNNNNNNNNNNNNNNNNNNNNNNNNNNNNNNNNNNNNNNNNNNNNNNNNNNNNNNNNNNNNNNNNNNNNNNNNNNNNNNNNNNNNNNNNNNNNNNNNNNNNNNNNNNNNNNNNNNNNNNNNNNNNNNNNNNNNNNNNNNNNNNNNNNNNNNNNNNNNNNNNNNNNNNNNNNNNNNNNNNNNNNNNNNNNNNNNNNNNNNNNNNNNNNNNNNNNNNNNNNNNNNNNNNNNNNNNNNNNNNNNNNNNNNNNNNNNNNNNNNNNNNNNNNNNNNNNNNNNNNNNNNNNNNNNNNNNNNNNNNNNNNNNNNNNNNNNNNNNNNNNNNNNNNNNNNNNNNNNNNNNNNNNNNNNNNNNNNNNNNNNNNNNNNNNNNNNNNNNNNNNNNNNNNNNNNNNNNNNNNNNNNNNNNNNUGGUCCCGGUUGGUGCCACUAACCGGUACCCAUGCCCACCUUUAGUCCCGGUUGGUGCCACCAACCGGGACCAAAGGACAUGUGCUGCACGCGUCGCGGCCAAAGUUUAGUCCCACCUCGCUAGUUGAGAGAGCUCGAGAGUGGUUAUAAGCGCUGCUGCGCCCACCCUCUCGAGCUCCUCUCGACUGCAGGCUUUCGAGCCUAACCAUACACUAUGUGCCUGUGGGGCCUACUGGGCCACGUGCGGGCCUGAAUCCUGGCCCAUGGUUGGGUUUCUAGUCGUAUUCGGGCCGUGGUGCCCCAGUAGAUGGCACUUUUUUUCUUUGUUGCUUUAUUUAUUUUAUUUUGUUUCUACUUACAACAAAAUACUUACUGUUGCUAUUUUUAUUUAUUUUAUUAAAGUUUAUUUUUUUAAUUCUUUUUGCUUUUAGGUCACAAAAAUUAUAAACUUUCUGUUAGUGCCAUUAGUUUUCAAAUUUGAAUAGUUUAAAUUUGAAUUCUUUGAAAUUUGUGUGAAUCACUAGUUUGUGAUUAACUUUACUAUAAAAAUAGAUUUUGGAGUGAUUCUUUUUCCUGCUAUUUAAAAUUACUGUGUUUUAUGAUUCUAUUCAAAAACAGAUUCUGGUAUUUUAGUUUCUAACAAAAAAAUCUUUAUGAUAAUGCUUUUUGCUAUUAAAGUUUCUAACAAAAACAUUCUUUAUGAAAAUUCCUUUUGCUAUUGGAGUUUUAUAAAAGCUUUUUUGUUGAUUCUUUUGGCUAUUGAAGAAUACUAUAGUUUUGUUUUAGUUGAUCAUAACAGCAUAUUUUAAUUGAUUAUUUUAGUUUCUACCCGGUACCCAUGCCCACCUUUAGUCCCGGUUGGUGCCACCAACCGGGACCAAAGCACAUGUGCUGCCCGCGUCGCGGCCAAAGUUUAGUCCCACCUCGCUAGUUGAGAGAGCUUGAGAGUGGUUUAUAAGCGCUGCUGCGCCCAACCUCUCGAGCUCCUCUCAACAGCAGGCCUUCGGGCCAAACCGUUCUCUUUGCCUGUGGGGCCUACUGGGCCUUCUGCAGGCCUGAAUCCUGGCCCAUGGAUGGGUUUCAAGUCGUAUUCAGGCCGUGGUGGCCCAGUAGGUGGCAUAAUAUUUUCCCUGUUUUUUGUUUUCUCUUUUGCUUUAUUUAUUUUGUUUUGUUUCUACUUACAACAAAACACUUAUUUAUUUUAUUCCAUUUUGUUUCUAAUUACUUACGUAUUUUACUUUAUUUAUUUUAUUUUUAUUUAUUUUACUGCUGCUAUUUUUAUUUAUUUUACUGCUGCUAUUUUUAUUUAUUUUACUGCUGCUUUUUUUAUUUAUUUUAUUAAGGUUUAUUUAUUUUAUUUACUAUAGUUUAUUUUAUUUUAUUUUAUUUUAUUGUAUUAAGGUUUAUUUNNNNNNNNNNNNNNNNNNNNNNNNNNNNNNNNNNNNNNNNNNNNNNNNNNNNNNNNNNNNNNNNNNNNNNNNNNNNNNNNNNNNNNNNNNNNNNNNNNNNNNNNNNNNNNNNNNNNNNNNNNNNNNNNNNNNNNNNNNNNNNNNNNNNNNNNNNNNNNNNNNNNNNNNNNNNNNNNNNNNNNNNNNNNNNNNNNNNNNNNNNNNNNNNNNNNNNNNNNNNNNNNNNNNNNNNNNNNNNNNNNNNNNNNNNNNNNNNNNNNNNNNNNNNNNNNNNNNNNNNNNNNNNNNACUAUAAAAAAAUGAACAUAGAUGCUCCUAUAGAGAAAAUUCAACCUAAAUUCAUAAUAAAUUUCUAUGAAAUUCAAAGAAAUUUACUCUGAAUUUAGGUCAAAUUCCUUGUAUGAGGGCAUCUAUUUUCACUUUGAGAGGAGCUCAACAAGGCAGAGAGGGACGGGCUUAUAAACCGGUGUGAGCGGCCUUCGGUUGGCGAGGUGGGACUAAACUCUGACCGCAACUAGGACCAACCCUUUAGUCCCGGUUUGUGGUAUGAACCGGGACUAAAGGGUGAGCCUCUCGUCCCGGUUCAAGCCACCAACCGGGACCAAUGGUGGUGGGCCAGGAGCGAGGCCCAUUGGUCCCGGUUUGUCCCACUAACCGGGACCAAAGGGGCCGGACGAAUCGGGACCAAUGCCCCCACGAGGCCCGGCAGGACCCUGGCCGCACGAACCGGGACCAAUGCUCACAUUAGUCCCGGUUCGUGACUGAACCGGGACUAAUGUGAAUAUUGCCCUGUGACCAAAGCCCAGUUUUCUACUAGUGUUGGGCGCGUCAUCGCUGCAAAUCGAACAACAACCAAAGCCUAAGCCGCGUUACUUCUCCAUUCUUUCCAGGCGAGAGAUCCUGUAGCUCCCACCGGGAAGUUACGGGCGGAGCUUACCGCACGAGGGGCUGAGUUUUCCUCUCGUCGUCUGCUCCGGCGACGGCGGCCAUCGUCGUUGUUCGCUGCCUGCCCGAGACGGGGAAAGGCCAGGGGGUCGCCGAUUAGGUGCGGCCAAGCAAGCAAACGAGCCGCCAGGCGCCGUUGCUGUGGAAGAGGGCGCUGCCGUGAUUUGGUUGGAAGAAACCCCUAGCCAGCUCACCGCUCGCAGCAAGCUGGUUUCUUUGGGGUCCGCCGCGCGGUGAGGGAUGACCCCAGGGCUUUUCAUCACUCACCAAUUAUGGGCCCAUCUCAGCUGCAAUUCCAUGUGGAGGCCCAUGCCGUCAAUGGCUUUGGAGGCGUGGGUGGGACAACCGGAAAAGAGGGAGCGAUGGCGCGCGCGCAACCUGAUUCUGAUCGGAUGGAUUCAGCAGGAGGUGGUGGGUGGGAGGCCAAAAAUUUUGAACCCAAGAAGAAGGGGCGACGGGCGCGCGUGCACAAUUUCCCGCUUGCCGGCGGGGGCUCGCUCUGACGCAGCCGACGCCGCGCACUGCCACCUCAACUAAUUGUCCGGGCUCCCGCGUCAGGGAAUUUAGGGGCUGUUUGGUUGUUGCCCAGAAGUGCCAUGCCAAAUCGUGGGCGUCGCGGACGCACCAAAAAGUUGGCGCCUGAUCUGGCCGUCCCAGUUUCGCCAAUGAAUUGGCGCAGAAGUACAGAGGAAAAGGCAGAGUGAGUUGCCGAGCCAAAACUUUGGAUCCCAUCCGAACAAGCUGCAGUGCUCCGAUCAACGAUAAAAUAUUGGCUGGGCGUGCGUGGAAUCGAAUCCAAACAGCCCCUUACCAUUCUGCCCCAAAAGGUUUUCUGGAUAAUCUGUUUCGUUCAACUGCCUAUACGCAACAUAUUUUGUGUUUAUCUAAAAAAAUUUGGCGUCCUCUCUCAUUAAAAUGUAUGUAUGGUGCGGUUUUUUAAAAGAUUAACUAAUAAUUUGCAACCUACAUGCCACAAAAAAUAUACCAUGGAAAAUCUCUUUCAAAUACAAAUUCAACAUAUACUUUCCAUAUCAUCAAUUUAUAUUUUGUUAGUUUUACAGAUGAUCAAAGUUUGACCUAAAAUACGAAGGGGGGCCAAUAAACCCGGACGGAGUGAUAGAACAUAUCUUAGACCUACAGAAGAUUCAGAUUUGACAUUAACUUACAAAAAGUCAACACAGACUAAUAAUAAGAUAUACUACUAUUGUCAACAGCUGCACAGGAACAAAUCUUGAUCUAUAAUUUUGCAUACAGUGAGCCACACUGGUCUAUUUGUCAGAUAUCCUGCCUGCAACUGCAAUUUUUAAAACGACGUUAAACGAAGGACCCGAUUAUGAAUCUACUGGCAUCUUUUUCCCAAGAUGCAAUUUUAGAACAGUUGAACGAACGAUAAGCAAAUUUAAUUACACUUCAGCCAUACAAUGCCCUGCUUAGUUCGUUGCCAAUGGUAUUUACAAUUUCAGCCAACCAGCCCUGCGCCCCUGCCAAGAUUUGUGACAACUGCGAUCCCCCAAUUGAAGAGACGUAACAGAGAGAUACAAUAACAUGAGUGGCACACCAAUAGCACUAGGAGAAUACUAGUAGUUCCGAUUCAUACAACGUCAUCACUUGCGGACAUAAACUUAUUAUAAGACCAAUAGUUGAUAAAAAAAACUUAAGACACAAUAGAUCGAUCGCCAGGAGGAAUCCUACUAUAAUCCAUGGCACACAUUAGACAGACAGAUAGAUGCUGCUCAGUAGAUCAAGCUUCUUGGUCGCUGUCGUGGGGGAUGACCUCGUACUGGUCGGCGGGGAGGUUGGCCCUUGGGUCGUCGUCGUUGAAGACGUCGACCUGGAUGUAGGCGUAGCCGUCGCGCUUGAAGUUGGCGAGGACCCUCUCGUUCUCGUCGCGCUCGGCCUUGAUGGCGUCCAUGGCCUCGCGGAGCUCCUCCGGGAAGUUGGGCAGGGGAUCGCGAGGCUUCUUGUCCCACUUGAGCAGCCACUUGAUGUAGCUAUUCCGAUUGUCUAUCUUCACCAUCACCUGCUUCUUGAUUCCAUACCCCUCGUUAAGGUACAACCUCAACCACUCGGGGGAUGCUGGCGCCGCCAUCGAGAUCGAUUCCGUCGGAACCUCCCCUUCUCGAUCUGGUUGGGUGGGUUGCUAUGUGGAUACUAUGUUGGCCAGGUGCUCAGGGGUGCUGUACAUAUAGUCGCCCCAAGCGGCCAUUCGACGAGCGGACGCGGCGUCGCGGACAAGACGACGGCGAGCACGGGGGCGAUCAGCUACUCCUGACGGGGGCGCAGUGGGCGGUGCGGGAGCGGCAGCAGGGCGGUGCUCGGGACGACGACGGCGACAGGAGCGUGGCGUCGAGCAACGACGGGAACUGGCGCGACCGCUGCUACAACUGCGGGCAGCGCGGCCAUUUCUGGUACAAGUACACUCAUCAAAGGAAGGCGGCAGUGGUGGAGGAGCGGGCGUUGCUGGCGGACAUCAGCGUUGAGGACGCCGGCCUCCUAUAGGCUGUGGCUUAGGGGGUGAAUGUAGGGCAAUAAGCCACAGCAGGCUCAGACGCGGUGCGCGUGUAUGCAUGCGGUGGACGCGUCGGGUCCGGCCCGUGGCGGGCACGGGUGCGUGUGUGUCUUCGUGGAUGUGUGCGUGUGUGCGUGAGUAAGUUGGCGCAAUGCGCGGGUAUGGAGACCGCAUCGGGCGUCGGGUGCAGCCGAGGCGCGCGAUGGGCGUGCUCGAGCCGGAGCGCGCGGGGCGUGCGGAGUGGGUGAGUGGGUGCGUAUGGGCGCGCGCUGGCGUGUGUGGGCACGCGGGUAUAAAGCCCUCACCUCACCAGUGUAUUGUGCUAUGUGUUCGAGUUCGAGUUCGAGGAGAAAACAGAAAAAACGUCGUUCGUGCGGCAGGGUGUUUGAGUGCCUGAAAAUCCUCUUUGUCCUUCUUCUUCCUCUCCGACCUUGUCUCCGCUGAUCGCCGUCGUCUGCUAGGGCUAGCUGCGCCAACACCCAGGCUGCAGCCAUGUUUCUGCCGCCAACCAUCUCUCUCCGAUGCCCCACGCUCAGUCCCCCCACGAAAGCCCUCAUCUCCGUAGCCCUCGUGCUUCCCAAACACACCUUCUCACUUCCUCCCAGUGACCUAGGCCAUGGCUCUCCUUCGAGCUGCCACAAGGCCGACUGGCCACGCGCGACGCGGGUAGGGGCACAGUGUUGCAAGGGCGACACGGCAGCGCCAAGCUGCAUCCGACAUGGCUACAAGAUGCAAGAUCUCGCAUGGCGGCGAGCUGCAACAAUCAUGGCGCGACGAGCUGGAACCAUAGUUGUGGAGGUUGCUAAAACCGUGAAAUCGGCUUGCUGGAACUGUGACCGCGGCGAGCUGGAACCAUGGUCGUGGGUUGCUGCAACCAUUGACAUGAAAAGCUUCCACCGUAUAUGAGAAAAGUUUCAAUCAGCAAUAGAAAAUGCUUCAACCAGGGCACUGCGCAAGAGAAAAUAUUACGACCAUUGACGUGAAAGCUUCCUCCAUAAAUGAAAAAACAGGAAAAGGUACAAUCACUGACAGAGAAAGCUUCAACCAUAGUUGGAAUAAGCUUCAACCUGCGACAGAACAAGCUGCGGGGCGAGUCGAUGACCCACACGGCGGUUUUGCACCCCACGUGUUGCGACGGUAGAGUUGCGGCGAGCUGACGCAGACGACAUGCGAGAUAGGAGGGUGCUGUUGUGGGGCUGAACCCGUCCAAUGGCAGAUCUGCUGUUCUAGAUGUGGAAUCCAUGGCAACAUGAGAAGAAGGCGUGCUCAUAGAUGAAGGGGAGAAUGAAGACGACGAGCAGCGAUGUGAGUUGCUUCUUUGCAAGAGGACGGCUGUAGCCCUCGCCGGAGCGCAUACAUGUCAUUGCUGAGGGCAGAGACACCUGUGGCAGGGCGAGGGCUAGCAGGCAGAAAGAGAAUCGUGUUUCCUUUUUGCGUUGACCAAGAGGAAGGAGACGAUUCCGAAAGAGGCAUCUUACGAUGCGGAUGGCUCAAUCUAGUGGCUGGGCAGCAGCCAGCCGGGUGCUUGCGCCGGUCUACCGACACCUACAGCCCGCCAAAAAAUCAAGCGCGGUUUUUUCGACAAUGUAAUACUUUAUUUCUUAGAUAAGGUGAAAAAUAAAGUCCGGGAUAGCAUCUUCCCAAACCACAGAGGAUCUAAUAGACAAGGAUGAUUUAGCUAUACAAUCAAGCCCCGGUUGAUUACAUGUUGUGUCUGUUGACUAAGUGUUGUCAAUGAUAUUGAGACAUAAGAGGAGGAAUACAUGAAGCUAUUAUCAGAAAGAACAAUUCCCAGAGAUCAUAUGGGACCCUCUAUAAAAAACAUGAAUUUAGAGUUUGAACUAUGAAGCUCGAAACUGUUUUUGAGACAACGAAGCUCGCAACUAAGCUUUUUUUAAGACUGACUCGCUACCUUUAUUAUGUCAUCACCACAUAUACAGGGACGAAAAUAAGGUUUCCGGGUUGGCCUAACCAUGCACGGCGGCGAACCCCUAAAGUCAGACCAUGUUUAGCAAGAUUGUGAGCCUCAACAUUUGAGGUUCAAAACUCGUGACUAAUGAUAUAAUAAUUAAAACUAGAAAUAUGCUCUCUAAUCUCAUUAAUCACCGCAUCAUAAGGGGGUGCGCUACCGCUACUAAUAGCAUCAAGCACUACCUUGCAAUCUGGACCAUGAAGAUCCUUUGAGAGUAUGUGUCCUCCGCAAGAGCCAUUGUCUCCCGUAUUGCUAACGCCUCAAGAAUGGGGGGUCUAUUAUGCAAGGGGAAAACAUAGUGGAAGCUCCAAUGAACAUCCUGUCUUGGUCUCGACAGAUCACCACUAAAGCCCCAAACUUCCCAUUCCUCGAGAUGGCAACAUCAACAAUCAUCUUUACAUAGCUCGUCGGCGGUGAAAUCCAGUGGUUCGGUUUGGCGACCGCAAAAGCUUGCCUUGUCUUGUUAUUCUUCUGCAUGAGCCCGUUUAUCGGACGUUUAUCGACCGUUUACCGACCAAGGACUCCGGAAAAUGUCCUCAUGAAUAGCUUUUCUUCGUGAACUACAAAUUGCCCAUAGAAAAGUUUACGAACCAGAAUUACCAUUCCCUCAUGGUUCCCAAUUCCGGCGGGCGGGGGUACCUUGCGGGUGAGCGACUCAACCUUGGCCCUGACAAGGUCGAGCCCGUCCUUCAUCUCCUUGAGGGCGGCGAGCAGCUUGGGCGCGUCAUCGCUGCAAAUCGAACAACAACCAAAGCCUAAGCCGCGUUACUUCUCCAUUCUUUCCAGGAAAGAGAUCCUUUAGCUCCCACCAGGAACGUACGCGCGGAGCUUACCGCACGAGGGGCUGAGUUUUCCUCUCGUCGUCUGCUCCGGCGAUGGCGGCCAUCGUCGCCGUUCGCUGCCUACCAGAGACGGGGAAAGGCCAGGGGGUCGCCGAUUAGGCGCGACCAAGCUAGCAAACGAGACGCCAGGCGCCGGUGCUGCGGAAGAGGGCGCCGCCAUGAUUUGGUUGGAAGAACCCCUAGCCAGCUCACCGCCCGCAGCAAGCUGGUUUCUUCAGGGUCCGCCGCACGGUGAGGGAUAACCCCAGGGCUUCUCAUCACUCACCAAUUAUGGGCCCAUCUCUUCCAUGUCGAGGCCCAUGCCGUCAAUGGCUUUGGAGACGUGGGUGGGAAAACCGAAAAAGAGGGAGCGAUGGUGCGCGCGCGAUCUGAUUCUGAUCGGAUGGAUUCAGCGGGAGGUGGUGGGUGGGAGGCCGAAAAUUUUGAACCCAAGAAGAAGGGGUGACGGGCGCGCGUGCACAAUUUCCCGCUUGCCGCCGGGGGCUCGCUCUGACGCAGCCGACGCCGCACACUGCCGCCUCAACUGAUUGUCCGGGGUCCCGCGUCAGGGCAUUUAGGGGCUGUUUGGUUGUUGCCCAGGAGUGCCAUGCAAAAUCGUGGGCGUCGCAGGCGCACCAAAAAGUUGGCGGCCGAUCUGGCCGUCCCAGUUUCGCUGGCGCAGAAGUACAGAGGAAAAGGCACUAUACACAACAUAUUUUGUGUUUAUCUAAAAAAAAUUGACGUCGUCUCUCAUUAAAAUGUAUGGUACGGUUUUUUUAAAAAAUUAACUAAUAAUUUGUAAUCUAUAUGCCACAAAAAAUAUACCAUGGAAAAUCUCUUUCAAAUACAAAUCCAUACAUAUACUUUUCAUGUCAUAUAAUUUAUUGUUAGUUUUACAGAUGAUCAAAGUUUGACCUAAAAUAUGAAGGGAGCCAAUAAACCCGGACGGAGUGAUAUAACGUAUCUUAGACCUACAAGAAGAUUCAGAUUUGACAUUAACUUACAAAAAGUCAACACAGACUAAUAAUAAUAGAUACUACUAUUGUCAACAGCUGCACAGGAACAAAUCUUGAUCCAUAAUUUUGCAUACACUGAGCCACACUCGUCUAUUUGUCAGAUAUCCUGCCAGCAACUGCAAUUUUCAAAACGACGUUAAACGAUGGACCCGAUUAUGAAUUUGCUGCCUCUUUUUCCCAAGAUGCAAUUUUAGAACAGUUAAACGAAGGAUAAGCAGAUUUAGUUACACUUCUGCCAUACUAUUCCCUGCUUAGUUCAUUGCCUAUGGUAUUCACUAUUUCAGCCAACCAGGCCUGGCAAGAUUUGUGACAACUGCGAUCCCCGAAUUGAAGAGACCUAACAGAGAGAUUCAAUAACAUGAGUGGCAUACAAAUAGCAGUACGAGAAUAUAUAGUUCCGAUCGAUACAACAUCAUCACUUGCGACAUAAACUUAAGAUGCAAUAGUUGAUCAAAAAACAUAGAGAUUGGAUUUUCAACACCCGGGUGCCUAGGCACCCGGUUAUCUCCCCCGUCCGCCCAGAAAAUAGCUGCUCGGGAUCUGGACCAGGCCAUGUACAACUAGUUCUAUUAGCAGUCUAGGAUUUCUUUAAGCGCCGGCUCUGGGCCUAUUCUCGCACUGUUCAUCAUAGGGCAGAAUCCCACCUCCGCUGUAAGCGCCAGUCUACAUCAAGGAGUACACCUGCCGGCUCGUGUUUCAAACGGGUGAAAAGACGUGUCGAACUUCACCACGGACAUGCAUCGCCGAUGGAAGGAAUAGAAUAGACUGCAGCCGCUCAUGGUCCUUGAUGGGCGCUAAGAAGAUAGCCACAUCAUCGGCAUAUAAAGAGGUACGAGACAUGCUCCUCUCCCUCUCAAUCUUUGAAUGUGCCCAUUAGUCGUUGCCAUAUCCAAAAUUUGUUGCAGCGGGUCGAUAGUGAAAAUGAACAGCACACUAGUAGAAAACUGGGCUUUGGUCACAGGGCAAUAUUCACAUUAGUCCCGGUUCAAUCACGAACCGGGAUUAAUGUGAGCAUUGGUCCCGGUUCGUGCGGCCAGGGGCCUGCCGGGCCUCGUGGGGGCACUGGUCCCGCUUCGUCCGGACCCUUUGGUCCCGGUUGGUGGGACAAACCGGGACCAAUGGGCCACGCUCCUGGCCCACCACCCUUUAGUCCCGGUACAUACCACAAACCGGGACUAAAGGGCUGGUCCUAGUUGCGGCCAGUGUUUAGUCCCACCUCGCCAACCGAAGGUCGCUCACAUCAGUUUAUAAGCCCGUCCCUCUCUGCCUUGUUGAGCUCCUCUCAAAGUGAAAAUAGAUGCCCUUAUACAGGGAAUUCGACCUAAAUUCACAGUAAAUUUCUUUGAAUUUCAUAGAAAUUUAUUAUGAAUUUAGGUUGAAUUUUCUCUAUAGGCGCAUCUAUGUUCAUUUUUUAUAGUAAAUAAAUAAAUAAACCUUAAUAAAAUAAAUAAAAAUAAAUAAACCUUAAUAAAAUAAAUAAAAUAAACUAUAGUAACUAAAAUAAAUAAACCUUAAUAAAUUAAAUAAAAAUAGUAGCAGUAACAUAAAUAAAAAUAAAAUAACUAAAGUAAAAUACAUAAGUAAUUAGAAAUAAAAUAAAUAUGUUUUUUGCUGUAAGUAGAAACAAAACAAAACAAAUAAAGCAAAAGAGAAAACAAAAAACAGAGAAAAAAAUUAUGCCACCUACUAGGCCACCACGGCCUGAAUACGACUUGAAACCCAUACAUGGGCCAGGAUUCAGGCCCGCAGAAGGCCCCACAGGCAGAGAGAACGGUUAGGCCCGAAAGCCUGCAGUUGAGAGGAGCUCGAGAGUGUGGGCGCAGCACAGCUUAUAAACCACUCUCGAGCCCUCUCAACUAGCGAGGUGGGACUAAACUUUUGACGCGGGGCAGCACAAGGCCUUUGAUCCCGGUUGGUGCCACCAACCGGGAUUAAAGGGGGCAUUGGUCCCGGGCCUUUAGUCCCGGUUGGUGCCACGAACCGGGACCAACGAGUUUCCUAUAUAUACCCCAUCGCCACAGCAGAGCAAUCCACAGAGCUCUGUUUUUUCUGGCCGGCGAGGGGAGGGCAUUUGGGUGCUCUAGCUCACCUCCUAUGCACAUGAGGUGUUCGAUGAAAUGUCUCAGCCACACUAGUUAAUCUUUCUCCUCUGGAAACUCGACCUCCGAGCUCCAUUUCCCCCAAGAUUUGUCUAGGUUUAGCGGUCCGUCACGUCCCGUCCCCGUCUUCACCGCCGUCGAUCACCCGCGCCGAUCUUGUCGCCAGCACCACCGUGGUGAGACUCUUGUUCUUAUCUUCUUUCUGAAAGGAAAAAAUUCUUACUUUAGAUAGAUACUUGUCUAAUUUUGUUACUUUUAUUAUUCCUUCUUAUUACAUAGUGCGAUGGUUUUGGUAUCCGCCCCCGUCGGCCCUCGUCCUGUGUAUGAUUCGGAUGUGGUAUAUAUUAUCUUUUUAUAACUAUUUGGUUCAUUUAUUGUUUAUGACAAAUAUACCGACCAACGUGACAUAGAUUUUAUUUAUCUAGGAGGUGGUUGAACCGGAAAUUCUAACCGACCCUAUUGUCGAGAGGUUAAAUUUAGUUGAAGAAGAAAACAAUUACUUGAAGGAAAAAAUAAAAAAAAUUGAGGAGGAGAAGAUGAUAUUGGAGUUGCAUGUUGCGGAUGUCGUCGAUGAUCACAAGAUCAAGAUGGAUGCAAUGCGCUUGAAGAUUAGAAAGAUUAGAAAAUAUGCCAUUCAUACCGAGGCUUGGUAUCAUUAUGCCGUUGGAUCAAUUGUUACCUUGGUUGCGAUUAUGAUCGCAUUUGUUUUCGCAUUGAAAUGUUUUACAUAGUUUCAAUGUAUGGUUUAAUUAAUUAGAUGCUCUGGAGAGCUAUAUAUAUGUUGUUAGAUGAGAACUAUGUAUGUACUUUGGUUUUAAUGUGAUGAUGAACUUCUAUUAAUUUGGUCACUUAAUUAUCUAUUCAUGAUGUUCUAUAAUGGUUUUUGACACACUUAAUUAUAUAUAAUGCACGCAGAUGAACCGGCAAUGGAUGUACGGUGACAGACAAACCUCCGAGUACAUUAAGGGCGUGCAUGAUUUUCUCGAAGUGGCUGAGGCAAACAAGCAGAAUGGUUUUAUGUGUUGUCCAUGCCCUAUAUGUGGGAAUACGAAGUCUUACUCUGACCGGAAAAUCCUUCACACCCACCUGCUUUACAAGGGUUUCAUGCCACACUAUAAUGUUUGGACGAGGCACGGAGAAAUAGGGGUUAUGAUGGAAGACGGCGAAGAAGAAGAGGAUGAUGACAACUAUGUGCCCCCUGAAUACGGUGGUGCUGCAACGGGGGAAGCUGCUGAAGAUCAAGAGGAACCAGACGAUGUGCCCAAUGAUGCUGCAAGGGGGGAAGCUGCUGAAGAUCAAGAGGAACCAGUACCCGAUGAUGAUGAUCUCCGCCGGGUCAUUGUCGAUGCAAGGACGCAAUGCGAAAGUCAAAAGAAGAAGCUGAAGUUCGAUCGCAUGUUAGAGGAUCACAAAAAAGGAUUGUACCCCAAUUGCGAAGAUGGCAACACAAAGCUCGGUACCGUACUGGAAUUGUUGCAGUGGAAGGGAGAGAAUGCUGUGCCUGACAAAGGAUUUGAGAAGCUAUUGAAAAUAUUGAAGAAGAAGCUUCCAAAGGAUAACGAAUUGCCCGACAGUACAUACGCAGCAAAGAAGUUCGUAUGCCCUCUAGGAUUGGAGGUGCAGAAGAUACAUGCAUGCCCUAAUGACUGCAUCCUCUACCACGGUGCGUACAAGGAUCUGAACGCAUGCCCGGUAUGCGGUGCAUUGCGGUAUAAGAUCAGACGAGAUGACCCUGGUGAUGUUGACGGCGAGCCCCCCAGGAAGAGGGUUCCUGCGAAGGUGAUGUGGUAUGCUCCUAUAAUACCACGUUUGAAACGUCUGUUCAGAAACGAAGAGCAUGCCAAGUUGAUGCGAUGGCACAGUGAGGACCGUAAGAAAGACGGGAAGUUGAGAGCACCCGCUGACGGGUCGCAGUGGAGAAAAAUCGAGAGAAAGUACUGGGUUGAGUUUGCAGCUGACCCAAGGAACGUAUGGUUUGGUUUAAGCGCGGAUGGCAUUAAUCCUUUCGGGGAGCAGAGCAGCAAUCACAGCACCUGGCCCGUGACUCUAUGUAUGUAUAACCUUCCUCCUUGGAUGUGCAUGAAGCGGAAGUUCAUUAUGAUGCCAGUUCUCAUCCAAGGCCUUAAGCAACCCGGCAACGACAUUGAUGUGUACCUAAGGCCAUUAGUUGAAGAACUUUUACAGCUGUGGAAUGGAAACGGUGUACGUACGUGGGAUAAGCACAAACAGGAGGAAUUUAACCUGCAUGCGUUGCAGUUUGUAACCAUCAAUGAUUGGCCCGCUCUCAGUAACCUUUCAGGACAGACAAACAAGGGAUACCACGCAUGCACGCACUGUUUAGAUGACACUGAAAGUAUAUACCUGGACAAAUGCAGGAAGAAUGUGUACCUGGGCCAUCGUCGAUUUCUUCCGACCAACCAUCAAUGUCGAAAGAAAGGCAAGCAUUUCAAAGGCGAGGCAGAUCACCGGAAGAAGCCCGCCAUGCGUACCGGUGAUCACGUACUUGCUAUGGUCAAUAAUUUACACGUAAUCUUUGAAAAGGGUCCCGGCGGACUAGCUGUUCCGAAUGACGCUGAGGGACACGCACCCAUGUGGAAGAAGAAAUCUAUAUUUUGGGACCUACCCUACUGGAAAGAGCUAGAGGUCCGCUCUUCAAUCGACGUGAUGCACGUGACGAAGAACCUUUGCGUGAACCUGCUAGGCUUCUUGGGCGUGUAUGGGAAGACAAAAGAUACACCUGAGGCAUGGGAGGACCUGCAACGUUUGCACGAAAAAGACGGCAUGCCUCCGAAGUAGUAUGAAGGUCCUGCCAGCUACGCUCUUACGAAAGAAGAGAAAUAAAUCUUCUUUGAGUGCCUGCUCAGUAUGAAGGUCCCGACUGGCUUCUCGUCGAAUAUAAAGGGAAUAAUAAAUAUGCCAGAGAAAAAGUUCCAGAACCUAAAGUCUCAUGACUGCCACGUGAUUAUGACGCAACUGCUUCAGGUUGCAUUGAGGGGGCUUCUACCGGAAAACGUCCGAUUAGCCAUUGUGAAGCUAUGUGCAUUCCUCAAUGCAAUCUCUCGGAAGGUGAUCGAUCCAGAAAUCAUACCAAGGCUAAGGAGUGAUGUGGCGCAAUGUCUUGUCAGUUUCGAGCUGGUGUUCCCACCAUCCUUCUUCAAUAUCAUGACGCACGUCCUAGUUCAUCUAGUCGACGAGAUUGUCAUUCUGGGGCCCGUAUUUCUACACAAUAUGUUCCCCUUUGAGAGGUUCAUGGGAGUCCUAAAGAAAUAUGUCUGUAACCGCGCUAGGCCAGAAGGAAGCAUCUGCAUGGGCCAUCAAAAAGAGGAUGUCAUUGGGUUUUGUGUUGACUUCAUUCCUGGCCUUAAGAAGAUAGGUCUCCCUAAAUCGCGGUAUGAGGGGAGACUGACUGGAAAAGGCACGCUUGGAGGGGACUCAAUAAUAUGCAGGGACGAAUAUUCUUGGUCUCAAGCACACUACACAGUUCUACAGAACUCUACCUUGGUGACCCCGUAUGUCGAUGAACACAAGAACAGUCUGCGCUCCAAACACCCGGAGCAGUGUGACGACUGGAUUACAUGUGAACACAUCAGGACUUUCAACAGUUGGUUGGAAACACGUCUCAGAGGUGACACCACUGUUUGUGAUGAGUUGUACUCGUUGUCCAGGGGACCAUCUUCGACUGUAUUGAUUUACAAAGGAUACGAGAUAAAUGGGAAUACAUUUUACACGAUCGCCCAAGAUCAAAAGAGCACCAACCAAAACAGCGGUGUCCGCUUUGAUGCAGCAACCGAGAGGGGAAAGGACACAUAUUAUGGUUACAUAAUGGACAUAUGGGAACUUGACUACGGACAUGAUUUUAAGUUCCCUUUGUUUAAGUGCAAAUGGGUCAAUCUGUCAGGAGGCGGGGUACAGGUAGACCCACAGUACGGAAUGACAACAGUGGAUCUGAACAAUCUUGGGUACACUGACGAACCGUUCGUCCUAGCCAAUGAUGUGGCACAGGUUAUCUAUGUGAAGGACAUGUCUACCAGACCGAGAAAAAGAAAAGAUAAGGAAGCGAAUACAUCAUACGAUGAGCCAAAGCGCCACAUAGUUCUUUCAGGAAAAAGGGACAUUGUGGGAAUGGAGGGCAAGACUGACAUGUCUGAAGAUUAUGAAAAGUUUCAUGAAAUUCCUCCCUUCAAAGUCAAGGCCGACCCAAGCAUCCUGAUAAACGAUGAAGAUUAUCCAUGGUCACAGCGCAAUAAGCAAAUGACACAAGCGAAGAAAAAGUGAAGACUUUCUCCCGCAACUAUUAUGAUGAUACCAUGCCAACUUUGUAACAGACGAGUAUGAUACCAUUGUCCGUUUUGUACACGAAGUGCAUCCAGUUUUUGCCGUAACCCUCUCAACUUUCUUGCACAUGCUAUGUGGAUGAAAUGAUGAUACCAUGCCAACUUUCAACCUUUUCAGAGUUCAUUUGAAAUGCUUUUCAAUUUUAGGGUCUUAUAGCUCAAAAUAAUUAGUAAAUGCAUGAAAAAUAACAGGCCAAAAAUUAAAAAUUAUGCCACCUACUGGGCCACCACGGCCUGAAUACGAUUAGAAACCCAUCCAUGGGCCAGGAUUCAGGCCCGCAGAAGGCCCAGUAGGCCCACAGGCAUAUACAGAGAGGUGAGGCCCGUAAGCCUGCUUUAGAGAGGAGCUCGACAGCUCAGGCGCACCGGACCUUAUAAACAGGUCCGGCUCUCUCUCAGCUAGCGAGGUGGGACUAAACUCCUACCACCACGCCGCUGUGCAAGGCCAUUGGUCCCGGUUGGUGGCACGAACCGGGACCAAUUCCACCAUUUGGUCCCGGUUGGUGCCACGAACGGGUACUGAUGAGGCUGUGGCCCCACGAGCACCUUUAGUACCGGUUCGUGGCACGAACCGGUACUAGAGUUUCUGACUAAGCAGUUUUUUAGUCCCACCUCGCUAGCUGAGAGGCACUAGGAGCGGUUUAUAAGCCCUGAGUGCAGAGACGAUGAAGAAGAGGUGCAAUGCUCACCUUCACGUUGCUUAGCUUCAAGCCUUGAGGAAUAAGGUAGACUGCAUGGAGCUAUGUGCAGUGCAGUCUACACUAUUCCGAAAGGCUUGAAGCAAAUCAACGAGCAUUGCACCUCUUUUUUAUUUUUAAUAACUUAUUACAACUUCGGACUUCUUGUGUUACGACAAAAUAAAAUAAACUUUAAUAAAUUUAUGAAAGUAAAAUUAACAAAGUAUUUUCUGUUCAAAACAUUAUAAGAAACCUCUAGUAUUAUUGAAACUAAAAUCAUAUAAAAUUGAUGCAACUAAAAUUAUCAUAAAGUAAAGAAUUAUCAUAAAGUAAAAUAAAUAAGUAAUUAGAAACAAAAUAAAAUAAAAUAAAUAAGUUUUUUGUUGUAAGUAGAAACAAAACAAAAUAAAUAAAGAAAACAAAAAACUAAAUACAGCAAAAAGAAUUUUCAUAAAGAACUUUUUUUGAUAGAAACUUUAAUAGCAAAAAGAAUUAUCAUAAAGUAAAAUAAAUAAGUAAUUAGAAACAAAAUAAAAUAAAAUAAAUAAGGUUUUUGUUGUAAAUAGAAACAAAACAAAAUAAAUAAAGCAAAAAAGAAAACAAAAAAACUAAAUACGGCAAAAACAAUUGUUGGGGCGUUGCCCGCUGGGCCCUCCAACCCUCGGGUUUGCAAAUACAGGCCCAGAAGGGCUAGAGGGCUCAACAGGCAGCGCGCCAAAGUUAGGCCCAGAAGCCUUCUAGAGGAGUUCGAGACAGCAGCCGCGCCGGGGCUUUUAGACUGGUACGGGCGCCCCUCGGCUAGCGAGGUGGGACUACACUUUUGGCCGCGACGCGGGCAGCAUGAGGCCUUUGGUCCCGGUUGGUCCACCAACCGGGACUAAAGGGGUGCAUUGGUACCGGUUCGUGGCACCAACCGGGACCAAUGCCCCCCCUUUAGUCCCGGUUGGUGCCAUCAACCGGGACCAAAGGCCGCCGCUUCCCGCCAUUUGCGCUGCUGAAAAGUGGGCUUUGGUCCCGGUUGGUGGCACCAACCGGGACUAAUGCCUACCUAUAGUCCCGGUUGGUGCCACGAACCGGGACUAAAAGCUUUGCUAUAUAAGUUCACACUUAGGAAAUUUUCAGAGUUACCUAGCAGUUGCCGCCCCGACGACGCCUACGCCGCCAGGCUGCCCCGACGCCGCCCGCCGCCCCCGCCGUCGCCGUCGCCGUCGCCCAUGCCUGUCGUNNNNNNNNNNNNNNNNNNNNNNNNNNNNNNNNNNNNNNNNNNNNNNNNNNNNNNNNNNNNNNNNNNNNNNNNNNNNNNNNNNNNNNNNNNNNNNNNNNNNNNNNNNNNNNNNNNNNNNNNNNNNNNNNNNNNNNNNNNNNNNNNNNNNNNNNNNNNNNNNNNNNNNNNNNNNNNNNNNNNNNNNNNNNNNNNNNNNNNNNNNNNNNNNNNNNNNNNNNNNNNNNNNNNNNNNNNNNNNNNNNNNNNNNNNNNNNNNNNNNNNNNNNNNNNNNNNNNNNNNNNNNNNNNNNNNNNNNNNNNNNNNNNNNNNNNNNNNNNNNNNNNNNNNNNNNNNNNNNNNNNNNNNNNNNNNNNNNNNNNNNNNNNNNNNNNNNNNNNNNNNNNNNNNNNNNNNNNNNNNNNNNNNNNNNNNNNNNNNNNNNNNNNNNNNNNNNNNNNNNNNNNNNNNNNNNNNNNNNNNNNNNNNNNNNNNNNNNNNNNNCCCUGCCCCGACGCGCGCCGCCCCGGCCCGUCCCCGUCGUCGCCGUCGCCCUGCCCCGCCCUUCGCCGCCGACGCCUCUGCCCCUGCCCCGACUAUGCCGCCGUCGCCUUGGUCAGGGUCGGCACUGCCCCCUAAUUCCUUCAUGUUUUUUCUGCACAUUUAUAUGCUUAAUUAUAUGUAUAUGUAUGAGUAUAUGUAUGUGUGUAUAUCUGUUUAUAUGUCCUUUUUUAGAUCUUUUUUCUGCAUUUUCUCUGUGUAUAUGUAUGUAUAUAUGUUCUCUGUGUACAUAUGCUUGUUUUUUUAUAUAUAUGAUGAUAUAUAUGUAAUGAUUUUUUUAUAGAAUAUGAUGUUUUUUUCAUAGAUGAUCACAUAUAUGAUGUAUGCAUGGAUGUGGAUGAAAUAUGAUUUUUUUUUGUUCAUAGAACAUGAUGAAAUAUGAACAAUGCAUUAGGCAAAACCUUUACUUUUUUUCGAAAUAUGAACAUGAUGAAAUAUGAACAAUGAAAUAUGAACAAUGAUGAAAUAGGAAGAAAGGAGAAGAAGAGAGAGGAAGAAGAGGAGAAAUAAAUAAGAAGAGGAAAAAAGAAGAAAAAGAAGAGGAGAAGAAGAAAGGAAUAGAAGAG